UUUUUUUUUUUUUUUUUUGUGAAAGCGAAAUAAUGCUAGGGUAGAAAGUGCAAAUCGCACCAUACUUUAACUGGGGCUUAACGCAUUUAACGCAUUUAACUUUAAAUGCACUAAUAAACCGUUGGGUGCAGAAAAAUGGGUCCAAUAACCUUAUCUGCUAAUGGCAUAAAAAUGCCACAUUCUCCUCGCUUUAAUGUUUAAAAUGCAACGUUCAGCAACUAUUUUGGCUGGUACAAGGGAUAACUUUAACACUCAUCGAAAUUUUCCAAAAGAUUCUUUUCAAAUGUUAAUAGUUUAUAUCACAUCUGAGGUAAAAAAUGAGGACCAAGUGUCACUCCCCAAAUACGGGACCUUCCACCGGAUUUGCAAUGUGACAUGCCAUACCCAUAUGACUUUACACCCACAAAUAUAAAGUAUCACGAUCAUAGUUUAUAAAAAAAGAAUUCACUAAAAUUUAAAAUUUACAAAUACUAAACGAAUACUUACUAUAUUUGAAUCCAUACAUUUGCUAAACAUCUUACACCAUAUUUCCAGAGUGAAAACGUCUAUUUUUCUAUCUCUCUCUUAUCUUCUAAGCGGGCACGGUUUUGCUUUCUUGAUCUGCAAGAAAAUAAAGAAAUGUGGACUGAGCAACGAAUACCCAGUAGAUAAUACUUACUCCUCUGUCGGAUCAUGUAAUUAUAUACAUAUUGUAUACAUUUGCAAAUUCGAUCAUGUAAUACCACAUGCAUACAAUAAAUAAAACCUUUGAUAUUUUUUCUAUAUGUUAGAUAUACAUAUUUCAUUAAGAGUGAAUGACAUAUAUAUAAAUGGCCUCCGUCCAAUGUGGCAUUUAGUUCUGCAGGUUCUAGAAGUGACCCCCGCCGAACAUGGCAUGGAAACAUAUAACAUGACAUGAUUACAUUCAUAGAAAUUUCUUGUAAAUUAUAAAACAUAUCAAUCAUACCAUCUCAUUUCAUAGAAUACAUCUCAUAAUACGUACCAUAGCAAAACCUUUCAAAUAGGCAUACAAUGAUCCAAUUUGCAUAUAACAAAAUAGACUUGCAUUUAAAAUAAAUUCAUAUUUGACAUUUUGAAAACACAGAGGGGUAAGUACCACCUACCUCAACUUACUCGCUUGAAGAUAUCAUAGUGUGCCUCAAUUUUGUUUCAAAUCUAUUGUCAAUAACAUGUAUACUGUAAUUAGCUCAUCUAUACUAUUCUUAAAUUACCUAUUUUUGUCCUCAGUUAGCCCUAUAUUAUAUGUCUGGACUUUUUAUGAAAGUAUUUAAUAAUUUCCAAAAAUAAAAGUUCCUCCUCUUUAGAAAGUUUCCUAAUUUGGAGAGUUUCCAUUUUUUUUGGAAGGUUUCCCCAUUUUAGAAAGUAUCUUAAUUCAGUUAUCUAUACAAAUUCAUUCAUUCAUUUGUUUGUUUAUUUUUGUAGAAAAUGGCCCACAUUAACUUGGAUUUAUUUGUCGGGUUCUAGAAUUUAUUAGAUAUAUUAUUUAGUUAACAUAAUGAAAUUGGGCUUUAUAAAAGUUAUCUUAAGUUAGACCAAUUAAAAUAUAAGCCUUGUAAUAAAGCUUGAAUUUUUUUCUAACUAAAAGUUGUAUUGGGCCUUAUGAUUAAUAAUUAUAUAUUAAGUCCACAGUAGAAUAUUUAAACUAUAGCUAUUAGGCUUAGUAAAAUAAGCAUAUUCAUUUAUUUGGAAACUUAGUAGGCCCAAAAUUUAUUUUUAGCGCAAGUUAUCAUUAUUUUUAUUAUAUUGAGUUCUAAGAAUAACAAAAGUUGGUCCACUAGUAAUUUGGCCUGAAUGGCCUCUGUUAUUUAAUUCCAACCACGACUAUCAUAUAGGAGAGCACUAGCUCACAUGUAUUCGGCUAAAGACAUUAGGUCAUUGUUAAACCUGGCUCGAAACUUAAUCUGAAAAGGUGAUCAGGUCACCGGUUCAACUGUAAGUUGGGCGAUUUAACCAUGGAUUGCACAAUAGUUAUGUUAUAUAAUAUAAUAAUAUAUUUUAAAUUAUAAAAAUAGUAAAAUAGUAAAUUUUUUUAAUUUGUGGUUCAACUGUCGAUUUUUUUCUGUUCACCGGUUGAAUCAUCGAAUCGUUAACUGGUCAACGAAUUUGUUGCUUAACUGGCCGGUUUAAUUUACAACCCAGUCCAGUCCUAUUGCCUGUUCAUCGAGUUGACCGGUUCGACCGCUAAACCAGACCAGGUUUUAUAACCACGCAUUAGGUAGACAACUAAAAAAAAUAAAAGGUUUUCUCUUUUUUUUGGGACCUUAGCAGAAUUAUCUUCAAUCAAGGGCCAAUACUAAAUUUUCAGAAAAAAAAAAAAAAAAAAAGUUUCAAAGCCAUCAUCUUCAAUUGCCUCGACCUGCGUUUUUCCCUCUGCUCCUAACAUCACCGACAACUCUUCAUCAUUUAUUUUGUUCUCAACUGGGACUUAAUUCCGGUGCAUGUUAGGCAUUCAAAUUUCAUGUCUUCCAAUUAAGUAGUACAAGGUAAAACUCCAAUAACCGAACUCAUCAGAACUCCGACGAACCUGAAUUUGAGAGCCUUAAUGGCAAAAGAAAUCUAGAUACAAACUCUGAGGAAAGUUGUAUACAUUUAUCUAGUCUUAAGUAAAUUGUAAAAUAAAAAUAGUCAUAAAAUUAUAGGCUUUCUAUCUUACUUGUACCGGUGGAGACGACGAUGACUUGAAGUCUUUCGCUAUAAAUUUCUUCCAUUGUCAAUUCCUCUUCUUAAUUGCACAUCCUUUUCCUCUCUAGACUUUCUCAAGUUUUGUUCCUCAUAUAUUCUCUCUCCUCCCCUCUAUUUAUUUGAUGUUUGACAGAUAUAGAACUCUAGAUUAGUCCGUUAAGUAGUACAGCGUUAUUAAUGCUGGUGAGUGAAUUACCGGUGGAGACGACGAUGACUUGAAGUCUUUCGCUAUAAAUUUCUUCCAUAGUCAAUUCCUCUUCUUAACAGCACAUCCGUUUCCUCUCUAGACUUUCUCAAGUUUUGUUUCUCAUAUAUUCUCUCUCCUCCCCUCUAUUUAUUUGAUGUUUGACAGAUAUGGAACUCUAGAUUAGUCCGUUAAGUAGUACAGCGUUAUUAAUGCUGGUGAGUGAGUUAGUCUUUAUAAUCUAUAUCUAUAUCUAUAUCUAUAUGUAUUGCAGAAGGGAUUUUUAGCAGAGACCCUCUCAAUGGCUUCUAAACUUCUCAUUCUUUUUUCUAAAUUUUUGUAUUUAUUUUAAUACAUAAAAAGUAGUGGGUUAUAACCAACUCUAUUACCAAUCAAAUUUAAAAUUUAAAACAUUCCCACUAUCUACUUCAUAAACCGUUUAUAAUUUGUUAUUUAUACUUUAAAUCAUUUUUACUCCUUAAUUAAAGACAAAUGCUCAUUCGUAUGCUAUUUUAAUACAAUGUUAUAUUUUUAUAAUUAAGAAAUAUUUGUCACCACACUAACCCUAUAACCACCCCUACAAAUGAGCUUUGCAAAUUACAAUUACGUUUCAAAAAAAUCACAAAUGUGCAACUAAAUGUAAAUUUGAGGGGGUAAAGUGCAGCUAAAUGUAAAGUUAAGGGGUUUACUAUAUUUAACCCUAAAAAAAAUCUCAAGAACGGAACAAGUAGUGAGUUAUAGAUUUUUGUCUAGAUUUUUGUAUUUAUUUUAAUACAUAAAAAGUAGUGGGUUAUAACCAACCCUAUCACCAGUCAAAUUUAAAAUUUAAAACUUUCCCAUAGUCUACUUUAUAAACCGUGUAUAGUUUGUUAUUUAUACUUUAAAUCCUUUUUACUCCUUAAUUAAAGACAAAUGCUCAUUCACAUGCUAUUUUAAUACAAUUUUAAUUCGGAAGCAUACAACAUGAUCAAGAAACAGCAGAAUCAAUUAGGACUAGAUUUUGACCCAAAAAAAAAAUUAGGCCUAGAUGCCACUGGCACGUUGCGGUAACUUGCGAUGCCAAUUAGGACUAUUUAGCGUUUUUUUUUUUGCAAGGAGUUAGGACACUGUAAAACUUAUUUAGGCAAUUUUUGCCUCAUCAGUGAUUUGAGUAUCAAGUUAUUGAAUAUACUACAAAUCCUAUAAUAUCAAUCUGCUACAAAAAAUAAUAUUUUACUAGCAUGUGGUAUUUGCGUACGAAAUUUCAGAAGUAAAUCAAAUGCUUUUACUUAUACUUUUUAUAAUUUGAAUAGUUUUUUAGCGAAUAUAACCAUACUAUGCAGAACCAUCACUUUGUACAAUUGGAGCUAACAAAUUGCAUAUCAAUCACAAUUUAGAUUUUGCUCAAUACCUGCGCAGUUGGUGAGUUCCAUCAGUAACACUACAUCAAACUUUUAAUGUUGUUUUAUACUCUUAUCAAUAUGUAUUUCAAAAAAUUGUAGGUUUGAAAAUGAUACAUGUACUCGAAAGUUAGUUACGUGGUUGAAGUCAAGCAAUUUUACAACAUCACAAGCAUUGUUGAUAGCAAAUUCAAAGAGAGUAUGGAUAUCCAAAUAUACAAUCAUGCAUACGGUAAACUUACUCUAUUUAAUUUAAUUACUGCACAAAUUUUUUAAAUUUAUAAUCAUAACCUAUACCUUCUUUCAUUCUUACUAGGUUAAAUAUUUUCGAAUACUUGCUUACAUUCAAAGCAUUAACAUAGAAAAUACAUUCUAUGAAUUAUGCAAAAAUUGUGGACAACUACGUGAAAGUCAUUUUUCAAAAAUAGUGUGUAUGCAUUGUAGUGACGUGGUAGACACUGUUGUUAGAUAAUUAAUUUCAUGUACCUUUAAUUUCAACAAAUUUUUCUGUAUUGUAUAUAACAUUUUAUUUGUCAAACAGGUACAAUGUUAACAUACAAAUCAAAGAUUCCAGUAGUAACAUGCAUCUUAAUCUACAGGACAGACAUGCACGAUUCGUAUUUGGUUGUGAUGCUUCUUAUCUCAGAGAAUUACAAAGGAAGAUAAAAUUUCUUAAUAUAUGUUUAUUUUUUAUAAAUCUAUUUAUAAACUAUGGAAAAAAUACACUAAUUUUAAAUUUCGCACGUACUUAAUUCUCAGAACAAUGGUGAUAGGUUGUUCAACCAACGAAUCAAUUCAUGCAAAGAUCGUGCAUUUUCAUUUGUAGUACGCAUUCCACAAAAUUCAACAGAAUUAAUUAAAUCACCAAUUUUGACUUUCGUACUAAAAGUUGAUUAGUGUGAAGAGUGUUCGCACCUUCAUGCAAGAAUAUUAAAUCGAAUGCAUAAUAUUUGUAAGUAUUUCAUUUUAACAACAUUUAAUUACAUGCAUUUUUAUUCAUAUAUCAUUCAUUUUCUAAUAUAAUUUCUAUUAUUUUUUCAGGAUCUAUCUUCCGAAAAAAGUAAUUUUUGAAUAAUAUACACAUUCUAUCAUAUUUCAAACUAUUGUUAGACAUAUAUUAUAUUUUAAUUGUGUUGGUAUAAUUUUUUAACCUUUUUUAAUUCACCCUUUUAUUUUCAUUUUUUCAAUAAUGGCAGCACCGUGCAUAGCACGAGUAUUCACACUAGUGUGAAAUAAUAAUCGACCCCCACUACUCAAAUAACUGCUGCUUCCUACUUUUUCUCCCAUAAUAUCUACAUGAUAAUUUGCAUAAUUGGUGUUUGUCUAGGUAAACAAAUAAAACUAGUGCUUAAUGCACACCUAAUGUGUGUGUAAUCAAAAAGUACAUAAUAUUUAUGAUCAUAUAUUUUAAAUAAAGUUUUUAUUACUGAAGCAAACUUUAAUCUUUUAAAUAUUUUUUAUAAAAUAAUUUUAUAUUGGUAGUUAUAAUAUUUAAGGGUAGUUAUAUUGAAAACAUAUACUUAAAUAGUUAAAAAGUUAAAUAGUCAUAGAUAGUUAAAGUCAAAAUAGUUUUUAUAAGGGUAAAAAUAAAAGCCCAUAAAGUGAUGAUAAAUAUUAACUCCAUUGUUAAUCUCAAACCCCUUCCUCAAAUUUUAUAUAGUGUAUAGAUAAGAAUAUGUUAGGUUGGUUACUUAAGUCACAUAGAUUGUGAUUUAGUUAUCAACCCCACUAUCCCUUAGUAAUUGAGAUAAGGUAGGGUAUUUAAUAUAAAAUCCUAAAGAGAUAAAUGAAGUAUUUACACUAUUAGUAAAACAAUAUUAAUUAAUAAUAUUGAUUAAUUAAUUGCUCUUACCAAAGAGUGGGAUAUAAAAAAUGUUCGGGGUUUUACACCAAGUAUGUUUAUUAGUUUAAUUAUCGGAAACUUGAAACUUCAAUGGUUAUUUUCUUUAAAUUCAAUGCUGUAUUACUUCUUAUGCUACGUGUGAGCAAUUAUAAAGAAUCGUACGAUAGGGAAAAAAAAAGGAAGAAAACGAAAAGUAUAUGGAAGUUAGAAAGUGAUAGACAGAAAGAAUCUAUUCUUUUUUUUCGAAACGGAAAUAAACACACACACACACACAACUAAUUAAACCACACACAGAAGUAAAUGAGAAAUAAACACACACACACACAACUAAUUAAACCACACACAGAAGUAAACGAAAAAUCGAUCCGAAAGUAAUUUAAGAGGAACCAUAAAGAAUCACUUUUCAGCCAAUUGAUGACAGAACAAGAUCCCUGUGGACCUUAAAUUCAGAAUGAAAACCCCACGAUCUUUCGAUAUGGGAUAGGAAGUCCCUAACCCCUCCCGUGCACACCCUCACCAGCCAAUGGGUUUGUCAGAAAGAAUCUACUCACGUUUGUGUAAAGUAGUCUAAAACAGUUAAAGGUCAUAUUUACUGAAUGUGUGCAGGCACUAAUUAACUAGAUUAUUUGAGAUUGACUUUUCAUUUUCGCCGACAAAAACAAAUUACCUCGGUUCUGACAUUGUUCAAGAAGGAAACAAAAAGCAAUCACAUGUUCCAAGAACUAUGAGAUAUUGGAUCUAUUUGAAUAGGAGAUUAUUUUUUUAAAAAAAUUUAUUUGAAAUAAUACUGUUAUACUUUUUAUGACAUGAAAUAAAGAGAUGAUUGAAAUUUGUAUUUAUGAUACAAGCAGAACAAAAUUUGAAUUUUUUUUGCAAAUCUUGAUAACCAAACAAACCCUAUAUUCUUGUAAAUGUGACAUGUGGGUGGUUCCUUUUUUUUUUUUUUUUUGGGGGAGGCUAAUGUAAUCUUGUCUACUGUAAAGUAAGAUUUAUGUAUGACUCUUAGUGAAUGCGAUUUAUGUAUGACUCUUAGUGAAUGCAAUGUUGAUGUAAUGUUGAUGUAAUCUUGUCUACCCUAAAGUAAGAUUCAUGUAUGACGUUAGCAAGUACCACUAUUUGAGAAUUUACUAAAUAUUUUAUAUAUAGAUUCUGUUUUCUCGAUUUGUGAGUUGUCAUCCUUGUGUUGGGGCCACAGUAAUGUUCUUCGUAUUGGUUCAAUCAUUCUUGUAAACUAGGGAGUUGAAAAACCGUGCAACCCAUGGUUUUGCAUAUAUUAUAGUGCCCAGGAUUAUGUGUAAUUAUGCUAAGAAUGGGCUUGAAUAUACACACGUAUGUUUGUUUUUUCAGAUUAAAUAGUAGGAUAAUAUAUUGGAGGUUUAAAAAGAGUAUUGUUUAUUGGGAAAACAAUUUCAAUUUACAUUGAAUUUAUAUAUAUAGUGAAUAUGGUGUGUUUGAAUUAACAAGUAUUUAAAUUACAUAGGAAUAGAUUUCUAAUAUAGUAUUUGGUAAAGAAUGAUUAAAAUAGAGUAAUCACACGCUAGAGAAUGCAUGGAUAGAAACAUUUUGACUAAAAAAAAGUGAAAAAAGAAUAAUUGUGGGAAAUUGCAUUGAUAUUUAAAGGAAUUAUGUUUAAUUAACGUGAAAAAUUAUAGUUUAUUAGGAAUAGGAGUUGGAAUGUGCAUGAUCAUAAUGACAAUUGUACCUAGGAAACAGUCAGCAUGAAGUAACAACUCCUAAAAGAAAAUAUGUUCUACAGAAGAAAGACUUGCGCCAAACGAAAAUGACAUUGACACCCUUCCUUAAUAUUUUCUCUACUUAAAAAAGCUCAGAUGAUAAUUCAAAGGUAGUAAUAAUUUGUUCAAACUAAAUAAUUUAACAGAGAAAAGCAUUAUUAUUUAAAAAUUAUAAUAAUAACCAUCAUACUAUUUUUAAUGAAAAUUAAUAAAAUAACUUACUAAAUUAAAAAAAGUGAAAAUGAAAGCACAUUCAAUGAAAAUGAUAUAAAACAUAAAUUAUGGAAAAUAUUAAUUCUUUACAUAAAAAGAAACUAAUUGUUUGUACGAAGUAAUUUAAUCAGAAGGAUAAACAUUUUAUGGAAACAAUCACACCCUAUUUAAUGAUAAUAAGAAUAAUAUAAAUUAAACCAAAAACAAACUAAUUGUCUGUACCAAAUAAAUUAAUCAUAACGAUAAACAUUUUAUCCAAAUAAUCACAGGACAUCUAAUUAUAUAAUAAGAAUAAUAUAAAUGAUAACUUCUUUUUUUUAACAUAGACAUUAAUUCCUUUUACAAUAGAAUAUAAUUUAAUGAUGAGCAUAAACAUUUAUUCAAAACUUUACUAAUCAAAGGACAAAUUAAUUAGAUGUCCCACAUAGGGCUUGGUUCCUUUUAAUAAGUAAUUUGAUGAAAAGGAUAAAGAUAUACUAACGGCAUUUAAUAAUAAUGACAAACACAAAUACAAGAUAAUUAAUGAGAAACAUAAAUAUUUAUUCAAACCAUUACGAAUGAAAUGAGAAAUAUGUCCUAGACCGAAAUCAAUUUUUUGUAGUAGAUAAUUUAAUAAAAAGGAUAAACAUUUAUUGAAGGCUUUUAAUAACAAAAAAAACACGAGCAUUUAAUAAUAAACAACGGCAUUAGAAUACAAGAUAAGAUUGAAUAUCCCAAAAAUAAGGAUACAAAAGUCAUUUUUAAAUGAAUUAAUACAUUUUCUUGAGCCAAGAGCCAACAACUACAAUCAUUUCUUGCAUUUAAUAAUUUCUACUCAACACACAAAUGUACAAACCCAACAGACAUGCAUCCACUAAAAUUUGUAAUCCUUUAUUGAUCAACAGCACAUCAUAUAAUUAUAACCCCCCCCCCCCUACCACCCACCCACCGAAAAAAAAAAGAAAAAAAGAAGAGGAACAGUAAGAGGACGACGAAAAUUAGCUCCACGUUUUCCUUAGCAACUUUGUCUAUUAGUUUGGCAAAAAAAAGGCUUCUGUUUUACUGCAAGAUAAAGAUAAAUCAAUAUCUAUUGAAUCAAACCAAUAACAAAGGCAUGGUUAAAAAAAAUUAGUGAAGAUUACACUCUAGUUUUUGCAAUUAUAAGAAUAUCUCCUGAGUUUCGAUAAAAAUUACUCUAGUUUUCUUCUCAAUUUUUUGGUUUCGAGAUUUACCCUUUUUUUAAGGUGAAAAAUGACAGUCAACAUGUUGGAGUUUAACACAAUAAGUUGUAGCAAUAGGACAAGCAAGCACCACCUAGGGAGCCAGGAUGUGCUGCUUUGUUUGGAUUGUAAGUUAUUUGAGAUAUUUUUACUGUAGCACUUUUUGUGAUGUGAUGUAUGUGAGAUAAAAAAAUAAUUGAGAAGAUAAAAAGGUAUAUUGAAAAUUGUAAUGAUGAUGUAAGUAAAUAUAUUUGAAAAGAUAAUCAGCUGUCCAAACAAAUCCAAAUAGUAGAUAACUAUAUAUCAAACAUUCCAAAUAGUAGGUUGAUGGGUACGUAUUUACGAAAUUAUUACAUAUGAUGGUCCAGGAACCUCACCAGCAUCUUAUAAGUCACGCAAGCACCGUGUUGGAAAAGUCUCUAAUGUACUAGCAUUCUACUAAUAGUAUACAGUAACAUCACUGAGCUUGCAUUUGUAGUUAUCAUCAAACUAAUAAAUUACACGUUCUUUAUCCUUUUAUCAAGUGCGUGUAUACACAUAUAUACAUACAUACAUACAUAUAUAUAUGUAUAUUAAUUAAUUUUUUUAUACUAUCAAUAUAUAUACUGACAAGUCUAGCUGCAUGCCACAUUAUGAUAUUCAUUUACGUCCGCAGGUAUAUAUACUGGCAGUAUAUAAAAAAUUCAGUCUAUGAAGGCAAAAAUAUUUUUUUAUUUUUUUUGUAAAUAUCUAUACCUAAAGUGACGUUUUUCUUUGGCUAGUGUCGGCACAAGCCAACACGCACACCAAUUCUUGCAAGCAACAAUAACCAUGUUGAAAAGAUUUGAGUUACAAUCGAAAUCUUUCAAACCUAGGUACAAACAAAAACUAAAUUAAUACAACUAGAGUUCAUUUAGAUUGACCCUUUCACGAGUUGUGCAAGUUAUCCUUGGCAAGGGCCACAUGUUGUCGUAGACAGAUCAGCCAUGACCCAUUCCAACCCUGUUACGCAACAAAUAUUCAGCAAGAUUGGCCUAUGGAGUGAGUACAAGUAUUGAUCAGAUCAACUAGGGAAAAGGAGCUUUAGAUGCAAGGCUAACAAGAGGGAUUAUUGAUUAUUGAGUGCAUAUUUUUUGAAGCAAAAAUAAAAACCCAAUUUCGUUCUGGAGCUAUUUUAACAAUUGCUGAAAGGAUACCAAGUUUAAAAAGAAGAAUUAUUUUCCUGGAAUUGAACUAGUUGACCCCUCUAACAAAUGUGAAAUUGUUUAAACAUUUUUUGAAUAGGGAAUUCUAUAAUUGCGUCUCCCAAUUUGCGGACUCGUUCUUUUGCGGACUCGUUCAACGCUUAAUAGGGACAUUUUUCUUGACAGCAACUACAGCUUAAUAGGGACCCACGCGCCUUUGGUGGGACAAAACAUCAAAAAGACAUAAGAAGUAGACGGACAGCAAAAAAAAAAUUAUUAACACUAUGACCAAGAAGCCUGGCAUUGAAUUACAAGCUGAUAAAUUUAUGUAAAUAAUUUACUAUCCAAACACGUUCGAAUUCUUCUGCUUUGCAUUCCAAGGCACAGAAUAAAAGCUCAAAAGCAUUUCUUUGUCAGUAAAAGUUUAAAUUUUUUCCGUUAAUCGGCAAGCCGUUUAGGAAAUAGGGAUAAUGGUAGAGUUUUACGAAGAACUCAUUUUUUUUCAUAUUUAUUUAUUCUUUGCUCUUAUAUUGGUCCUUGUACAAUGAGCAACAAGAAAGAAGAAGAAUACGAAGACUAUUAAGAGAGAUAACAAAAAAUGGACUACUUGUUUUUUGGUUCAAAUUGAGGUACUAAAUACGCCAUUUAGAAAAAAGGACUGUUCAAAAGGAUGGAGUAGUUUCACUCCAGCAUGGACGGCUUUCACAUACUAUUCUUUUGUACGAAUGGACAUGAAAUUGAGUGAUCACGACUGAAUCAUUAAGUUGUGUUUCCCUUCCUAUAUGGUUUGGCUUGGAAUGGACCUUUCACCAAUAGAGCAGAUUCAUUUUUCACAUGCCAUAUUCUUGAGACAAGGCAUUAAUUUCGCAGAAUGUAGAGAGAACAAAGUCGUGCACCAAGGCAUCUGCAAUUGACGCCUGCUUGCCCACUGACGCAACACAUUACACACCACAAACUUCUGCCGUGGACGAAUUGAACAAGACAUGCAUUAAUUUGGUCAGAUGUCAAUGUACUCGCGCACCGAAAAUUCUACAGGAUUUUAUACUUUAGGCUUUCUACACUCCCACAUAAUAAAGGUACGGCAAUAAUAGAGGGGGUAGACCACUGUAACAUUUUAGUAUUACGACAAAAUAUCUGAAUGACCCUCAAACUAUUAAAUUAGUUGAUUUUUAGCCUUUUAACUAUUAAGUGGAUACUUUUGUCUCUCGAAUUUGUAAAAGAGUAUAUUCUUUACCGUUUUGAUUAGAGAUAAUUUGUAAAGGGUAUAUUCUUUAACGUGGCCAUGAAUAUCACUCGGUACUUCUAAAAUUUUAAAAAUAUCACAGCUCCCCCUAAAACCAUUUCUUUUAUAGCAAUCUCACCUUUGUAUCGUUAUAAUAUUCUUAUAAUAAUCACUUAACAAGAGAUACUUUUUUUUUCUUUCAAUUCUACCUUUUUCUGUUUUCUUAUAUUGAAUAUUCUACCAAUUUAAUUAUAAUAUAAGAUUUACAUAUUUUGCCUAAACAUUUUCUCUUUCAUAAUGUUUUGCCUAAAAAUUGUUAAAGUAGUUUAGAUAAUUUUGUCAAUUCGUAGCUAUGAUAGUAAUCAAUAGUCUCAUCUCACUGAUAUGGGAGUUAUGUGAUAUUUCUGAAAUUUUAAGGAUACCAAGUGAUAUUACCAUAAACGUUGGGGAAGGUUUCUAAAAUUAUAUCUAACCAAAAGCGUGGAGAGUGUAUCCUUUUACAAGUUCAAGGGGCAAAAGCACACAUUUAAUAGUUGGAGGGUUAAAAGUCAGCUUACCAUAUAAUUUGAAAGCCAUUCGAAUUUUGUGCCCUUAAUAUUAUUAUCCAUCUCCUGAAUUACAUAUGUUUUAGUUAAAAAAGAAUUAAACUUCUAUAUGAGACAUAAAACAAGGAUAAACUUUUAUCUUAUACCUUUAAAGCACAUAAUACAAGAAUUGAAUUAUUUAUCUUAUAUCUUAAUUUUAUUUAUUUGUUCAAUUUUUCUUUAUUGAGUUUUAUGAGUUAGGAGAGUGAAAUUUACAUAGACAGAAUUCGGGGUGAGAGAGGGGCCAUUCCCCCUUACCUCCCAAGGUUUAGAAAAUUAAAUCUUUCUCCUUUAAGAAAUUGGAGAUUUUCAAAAAUAUUCUUAAUAAGUUUAAACUUUUAUCCUGGCUUAAUAAUAUUUUGUGUAUUUUAAACUUAGGAAUUUGGUUUGAAAUCUAUUAAUGUGAAGGUAGAUCAAGAGGAAACAUUACCAAAUCUACUAAAAGUAAAAAAGUAAAUAAUAAUAUUCUACCCUUCAACUUAGUAAUUCUAACUAAAAGGGAAAAUUAUAUAGAAAAUAAAAAGAAAAUAAUAUUCGUUGGUCAUAGAUUUAAAAAAAAUCAAGAAUGGUACCAUUCAUGAAACCUAAAUUAUGAAAGCAUUAACUAAAUAAUAUUUGGUAUUUUUAUACUUUUGUAUUGAAUUUUUAUUUUUUAUGUUUUACUCGCCAAAUUUACUUUAUAAUAGUGUAACAUUGACAACAUGUUAAGUUAUAUUUUGAAUAAAAGUCAAAAAAUUAGGACUCUUAGUCCAAUAGAUGUAAGAAAUGCCAAUCGCAAUCACUACAAAAAUGAAAAUCCUAACACACACAGAGCAUAUUAUAUACACAUGUAUAUAUGUAAUUCUUAUAAGUAUAUAAGAGAAAACUAUAGAUUUUUGAUAAUGUAAUAUAUAUCUUGAAUGAAAAAUUAUGAUAUUACUUUAUUCUGAUUAGUCAGGUAGAAGAAAGAGGAAGAAGUAGAGGAAAGGUAAAUAAAGGAGGUUGGGUGUGGAGGAUAGAGAUUGGGGGCUAUCGAAGAGUUUGGGAGAACGAUGAGGGGAAAGGGAUAGAAAUUGAGUGGCGAGAAUAGGAAAUUAGAGGCAGCGGGAAGGGCAUGGUGUGGAGUUAAAGAGUGAAGAGAAAAGUUGAAGAAGGAAAAUGAACAACAAGGUUGCGCGAAAAGAAAGAAGAAAAUUGUGAGAAUAUGACAUAGGUGGGAAAAAAAAAAUAGGAAGGAUGAUACUGUGAUAGGAGGUGUGAAGGUUAUAGGAGGCAUCAGAUGGCCAGUUAGCAGGUAAGAAGGAUGGAAAGAGUAAUAGUUUUUAAUCGUCCUGACAACUCUAAUAAGAUGUCUUACAAAGAUUAUUUGUAAUCUAUAUUAAAGUCUAUGAAAAACACUAUUUUAUAAACACUCAACAAUUCUAACAGUACAAGAUCGGAGAUAAAAUUAUUCUAAAAUUGAGAAAAAUGAAUUAGUUAUAACUUAUUUUUUUACAUUUUAAUUUUGAUAUAUGGAUAUAAUAUGAUAUCUUGUGUUGACUAUUGCUAAAUAGGUUUAUAAUUACUCUAUCAUGUAAAUCAUUAUUAAUUAAAUUAUUUUAUUCAAAUUCUUAUCGUAUAUUGGCAGGCAAUAGGUAAACAAAUUUUGGUUCCAACUUAUUUAAAAUAUUAAAAUUAAGAAAGUCCAUUUUGUACUCAUGAAGUAAAAUUUUUUUGAACAUAUUAUGCAUACGCUUUGAGAUUUUUAAUCUUUUUCAUAUACCCUUAUCAUGUACUACACUGUAUAAGUAUAUACUAUUAUUUUGAAUUGAAAUAUAAAUGCACAGGUUAGAAUGCUAAUGACUAAAAGCUAUGCAAUAAGAGACAAAAAUACUUAACUAUAAGGCCGCUCACUCAUAUAUCUCCUGUUAACUCUUUAUAUUAGAGUCAAGUGGUACCUUGUGUAAAUUUAAGUUUGGAAUUUCAAUUCCUUAACAAAUUUAUUAAGAUUUUGGAUCAAUCUCGUCCUCAAAACAACUUAGAACAAUCUACAUCCAUUACAAUUUCAAGAUGGAGUUUAGAGUGAUUAAUAUGGAGGAUUAGCAAUCAAAAUAUUAUCUAGGGUCUUAGAUCAUGCUAUACUAAAUGAACUUUAACGUGUAAUACUAUGACUUCUAGAUGUGCGUUAGUAAACUAUAUAUCAGUUGGGGAUGAUUGGAUAGGGUGGUAAAAUGAAAGGGAUUGUAAAUAAAAGAUUUUAAAUUCAAAACAUUUGACUUAUAAAAAAAACUAUAUAUUAGCUCUUUAAUAAUAAGUAAAUAGUACCAUUUAGUAAAUAAAACUAGCUUACUAAACAAAAGUUGAAGUUUAUAGGGUCCUUUUUCCUAAAUGCAUUUUGAUUUAUUGAUAAAUUGCCCAAAUAAAGUUAAAGAUAAACAGGUUAACAUGAUAAUACAUGAUAUCCAUAAUAAUCUAGGAAACUGCGUCUAGGUUAUUCUUUUAAAAAAAUGGGUUAAAAAUAAAAAAGCUCUCUGUGGUAUACUUAAUACACAGAGAAGCCCCAGUGAUUUCAAAACAUACAAAAUGACAUCUCAUGUUUUGAAUUAAAUUAUAAACUAACAGAAUUCGUUAAAUUUAACGAAAAUGACGAUUUCGACUGUUAAACUUACCGAAUUCCGUUUAACGAAUUCUGUUAGUUUACAAUUUAGUUCAAAAUAUGAUGUGUCGUUUUGUAUGUUUUGAAACUACGGGGAGCUUUUCUAUAUAUUAAAUAUACCACAUGGGGCUUUUUUGUUUUUAACCCAUAAAAAAUUCUAACUUACAUUUGCACAAUAAUUUUAGCAUUAGUGCAUAAUUUAAAAUGAGUAGAACAUGAGCAAAUAAAAUGUUAAGAUGCACUAUAUCUUGUUGAUAGAUCUUUUACAUGUCGGCUAAUAUAUAAAUAUGCCUUCUCUACCUGGCAACUAGGCCUGGUAAUUAUGCCCAAAACCCAACAACCCACCCACUAAUUUGAGAGGUUGGAUUGGGUAAGUUGGAUAUUGGGUCAAUUUUGGGUUGGGUAAUAAAAACUCACAUAUAUUUUGGGCAGUUUGGGUAUUUGUGUUGGGCACCCAUUACCCAACUUGUACUAAUUGAAUCAAGUGAAUAAUCAACACAAUCUUAAAAGGGUGAAUAGUUUUUCAAAAGCAUCAACUAUAGACUUUUUUUUUAUUAUUUUUUGCUAUAAACAUCUUUUGUGAUUAUUACAUAAUUCGCCAAGCAAGUUAAAAUUUUUUUACUUGGCCUAUUUUUAAUUCCUUGGUUACAUACUUAAUAGGGUAUUACCCUAGCUAUGGAAAAGGCUAGAUGUGUUAGAAUAAUUGCCAGAUUCAUCGUGACAAAAAAAUUAAUUUGCAUUUAUGAGUUAGAUAUUUAGCUACAAUGUGACUUUUUUUCAGUUAUAUUAUCGUCAUCAAAAUGUGCAGUAUGAAGAAUUUGAACAUUAUUAAAUUUGAAAUUAAUUUUGAGACAUUAAUGUCAACUUACAACUACUCGUGCCCUCGGUGCUUAAUAACUACCACAUAACUCAUUCAUGCUAAAAGAUUUUUUUUUUUUAUAAACCGUAUUCUCAAUAUGUAAAAACUACAUAAAUCCAAAAUUACCAUACUUUCUUUGUGAAAAUAUUAGCAUAAAAUCUUUUUUUGGGCGGUUUGGGUAUUUGUGUUGGGCAUCCACUUAAAUUUUUUUUUUUUUUUGUAUGUGAAAAUAUAUUUGAGAGAGUUUAUGUAUCAAAAUCUAUUAAUUAAUAUAUUGGAUCAUAUUUGGGUCAUGGGUUUGAGAUGACCCAAUAUGACCCAAUCCAAAAUAAACCCAAUCUAAAGUUGGGCAGGUUGGGUGUAACCUAUUUAAAUGAAAACACAAUAUUAACCCGCCCAAUUCCCAGGUAUACUGGCAGCUAAUGAUUAGUUGAUAUUUUCAUCCACGAUAAAAGAUUCAUAGAAGAUCCAGGUUCUCGAUAAUUUUCAGUCUCAAUUGCACAAAACAACGAAAGCACUACCACAAUUUACAAUUAGAAAUCACCAUGGUUCCAGAACCACAUAUUCUGAUUUAAAAAUCAUCUCUUCAAAUUCUUUUGAAGGUUGGAACUUGAACCGGCCCUUAUAGAAACGGUUAUGGUUAUAGUUUUUGAACCUCUAGUUCAGAUCCGAUUUUAAUUUAGAUUUUAUUCCGGUUACAAUUUUAGUUUCUUCCGAUUGCGUUUCCAUUUAUUUUAGUUAUGUUUAAACAUUUGUUGUUAUAAAAUUGAUUCUAAAAAAAUAUGACAAUGAAUGUAGGCAAAAAAAGAACUUUAUUGAAUUAUCAUGUGCAAGGAAAAAAAUUUAUCCAACUGAAUUUUAAUUAGUUAUAAGGUCUAUACUUACUAAUGAGGUGAAAAAAUGGUUUUUGGGUUAGGAUUGGGACUGAAGGUGUUGGAUGUUGACUAUUAAUAAAGAAUUCUAAACUGGUCAAAUAGGUUGAGAUAGCAAGUAUUAUUUUAGGCGGUUUAAAUGGCUUUGAAACCGUUGAUUCUGGUUUCGAUUUAAGUUUUUGGUGAACGGUUUAAGUUUUUGGUGAACUUGAACUUGAAUCUUUAAUCAUGGUUAUGAUUCCGAUUUUGAUUUCGAAAAUUUGGUUCCCAUUUCGAUUCAACAAACUAUUGAUUCGAUUCCGAUUUAAACUUGAACUAUAACCACCCCUAAUUGCAAUGAUGCAGGUAGUUGAAUAAUGAUUGUAAGAUAUUAAUAUAAUAAAACGCACAAACUCAAUAAAUAUUGUGCCUUAUGGGAAAUUGUGUUUCAUAAUUAGCUCUUUCAAUUUGAUUUCAAAUCAACCACAUCACCACCCAUAACUAUCCCGUGAUUGUCAAAAUCCUGCUCCCUAUACUAAUUUGGAACUUAAGCUUGAGAUGCCUAGCACUAUUAGAAUAAUACUCCCUCCCUUUUUUUAUAACUGACGUUUAAGGUUUUACACACCAAUUAAGAAAAGUUUUUCAUUACUUAAAUUUGUAUAUUACUUUCCUUUUAUACCCUCAUUAAUUAUCCAAUUUACCCAUGUUUUCUCUCACUAGAGUACUAAAUGGUGCUGUUUUACUAGGCCAAAAGUAGUAAUUAAGAACCCUAUAUUGGAAAAGAGAGAUAAAAUGGUAAAAUUGUGAAAAAAUAAUUAAUGUUGUAUGAGGAUAAUAAAACGACAGAUAAAAGUACACUAGAGCAAAUUUCUUAAACGUCAGUUAUAAAAAAAGGGAGGGAGUAGUACCUAAAUAACUGAAUGGGAGCCUCUAUAAUCACGAGGGGUGUGCAAACUUUAGAAAACAACGAAAAAUUCGCCGAUCCAAUUUAAAACGAAUUUCAGUAAAAGGAGGUUCGGUUAAACAAAGUAUAGCCAAUAUAAAAUGUUUGGUAAAACAAUUACGAGCCAAACUCUCAAAAAUUCUUAUAACAUAUAUCUCGGGCGCGUGUUGAACAAAUGAUACAUAGUGCGUUACAAUGAUACAUAGUGCGUUACUUGUACUUGAUUACUUAUUGUUAGACUCUUUUACUACUGGAUUAGUUAUAACCUGAAAUGCGAAUUUGGAGUUCUUGUUUAUUUGAAUGGUUUUUGAGAAUUGAAAUUAUGACUUGGGAUUAUGAACCUGUUGUUACUGGAUAAGUUUUAACUUAUCUUUUUUAUUAUUUGUUAUUGUUAGGAUUGACGAAUUUUAAGCCUUUGACCUUUGAAUACGGAUGUUCAAUGGUUAUUGUAAUGAUGUUUUUUUUUUUUUCAUAUUAUACUUUUUGAGCUAAAUUGAAUGAAUUUUGUGAGAAGAAAAAAAAAAAAAAAGAGAUCUGGUUUUGGUACCACAUUUCCUUUAUAGGAAAUUGAGAUUUUUUUUUUGGCUUACUAUUAAUAUUUCAAAUUUGGGAUAUUACGGAAUUAUUAAUUAUUUAGGUGAAAUCUAGCUACUAAUAUCUGAUUUAUCAAAUUAGAUUUUGGACGAUAAUUGAAUAUUGACAAUCAAAAUUUUCUUUUAUCAAAUUCUCGAUUACCGGCCAAUCAAUACCUCCAAUAGUCAUUCAAAUAUGUCACUGCUGAUGUGGUCUAAUUCGAGCAUUCAAACCUAGUUUUUCAAAAGAAGAAAAAUUAAAUUUAGAAUUAGCUGUUCAACUCAAUUAGGAUUUUACAAGAGUUGUUUGCUAUUGCAUCGGCAACCACCGACAAUUCAACUCCAUUUAACAGCAAUCAAAUCACAAACGAUUCAGCUCCAAAAAAGUAUCGCCGUCUGUCUGACGGGUGCUUUAUCAACAUCAUUAAGAUAUAUUUCAGGUAUAAUAUUUUUGAAAAUAUAAAAUUAUUAGAGAAAGUAAAUAAAUACAAAAGAUAGUAGAUACUAUUAAAUAGGGAAAUUAUAUAAAUGUAAGAGAAAAUAAUAAUAAUUAUUGAUAUGUAUAUAUACACGAUAAGUUAGGUAAAUACUAAGAUUUUGUUUGGAUUGUAUUUUUCUGAAUUUUUUCUAGAAAAAUUACUGUGAUGAUUUGAUAUUUAUGAGAUAAAAAAGUGAUUAAAAAAUAUAUUCACGAAGAAAUAAAGCAAUUUUUCUUUUAAAACUAACAAUCCAAACACACCCUAAGUAUACUAACGGAUGCCGAAGAAAAUCCAAAGUAUUACACUAUAUUAAAUCAAAUCACCGAUUUUAAAUUUAAUUAAAAAAAACUCUCUCUUUUGAAGAUGCUUUUCAAGUCAAAGUUUCAAUCCCUUCUUCCAUCCCGUAAUGGUGGGUCCCAAAUCUACCGCGAUUCUACGCCCACUAUGACAACAGCAUUUUCCCAACAACGAAUUCAAACACGUGACUGAAUUGGGCAAAUAAAAGUCUUUUUCAGUAUCCCCACGUGUUCAUAUUCCGGUACCGCAGGAAACCCCCCCCCCCCCCCCCCCCGGUCCCCAAUUUAUAGUGCUUUAUCUCCCAAACUCCCCUGUUUCUCUGACCCUCUUCGCACUUCUUCCUUUCUCAAUCCCCUUAAAAAACUCCAACUACUGACUUAUUUUACUUCAUUUCGUCUCCCUUUCUUGUUUCUGAAGAUGUUGAGGCUUAAUAUUUGUUUUUCCCCGAUCUUUUUGUUGUUUGUUUAUUGCAUGAAAAGCUCAUCAUCAUCAGCAGGAGCAGCAAUUGGAGUUGGGAUAUCCAAGAACUGUCCAAAUGAUCACAGUGACCUGUCAUAUUUUGAAUCAGCUCCAAAACCAUGUUUCAAGAAUCCAACCACAAUGGAGCUGAUUAAAUCCCUGAAUCAAACGUCUUCAACACGGCAGCAGGGAUCCUCCUCCUCGUCAUCAGAAUCAGACUGUACUGUUUGGACUAAAGAGUGCUCUGAGCAGCUUCUCUGGCUUGCAAAACAGCCAGAGAGUGUAAAGUGGAUUAAGUCUGUGAGGAGGAAGAUCCAUCAGAACCCAGAACUUGCUUUUGAAGAAUAUGAAACUAGUCGGCUCAUUCGGGAAGAAUUGGAGAAAAUGGAGAUUAGUUACAGGUUCCCUCUAGCUACGACUGGGAUUAGAGCCAUGAUUGGGACUGGUGGACCUCCUUUUGUAGCCAUCAGGGCUGAUAUGGAUGCUCUCCCAAUUCAGGUACGUUUAUUCAUCCUCUCGUUUCUGCUUAUACAUUUUUGUUUUUAAAGAAAAUUGUUUUUUAGGUUUUCUUUAGUUAAACAACUUGCAUGUCAUUUCUUGUUAUUUUCUCUUGUUUAGCUCAAACAUGUUUUUGACAAAAAUCAAUGCACAUGCUCUGACAAAAGGAACAACACAACCUACCAAUUAAGUUAACCAUGGUUAUUUGAGUUGUACUAAACUUUUUAGCACUUUUAUCUUUUCAUUUUCAUUAAAGAUCGAUGAUAGUCAGCUUGAUCGGGAGAUAUUGAUGAGUCUUGCUACGUGUAAGAUUACUUAACAUGAUUGUGUAAGUGGUAAAAAACUUGUAAAACUUGGUCGGGAGAUAACGAGUCUCGCCAUGUGUAAGAUUACUUAGCAUGGCUGUGUAACUAGCAAGGAACUCCGGAAGGAUUUCGAGCUUGCACUCUCAUGAAUGAUCAUAGUCAACAACUUGGCAAAGGAUAACGGAGCGAAUCACCAUUUAUAUAUAGUACGAUUUCCCGCCAAAAAGUAGAUGCAAUCUUAUACUGGCUGGUAACAAACAAUAAAAAUUUGCCAAGUACCCACAGAAGUGCAUAAUUUAUAGUCCACGAUGCUGACCAAAUGAUCAUUUCUCUGUUCGCCUAAAUUUGUUAAUUAGUGCGUAUUGGACAAAAGAUACCUUAUACAUGAAAUGUUUUUGUUAGUCAAGCAAAGUUUACCAAAUUUUUUUGUUUAUUGUUUGGUUUGUUUCUGGCCACAGGAGGCCGUUGAAUGGGAGUACAAAAGCAAAAAUGCCGGCAAGAUGCACGCUUGUGGACAUGAUGCACAUGUUGCCAUGCUUAUUGGUGCGGCAAAGAUUUUGAAGGCAAGAGAAAAGUACUUGAAGGUUUGUUAUCCUCAUUUAACUUCACAAAUUAAUUAUGUCCAUCAACUACAUAGUUCUAUAUAUGGUGAUCAUUGACAGACAAAAAAAAAAAAAAAAACUACACAGUUCUAGCUACUCAAUUUCUUUCAAUCAUUAUAGACGAUUGUUGACUGACAUGUUUGCGUUGCAAAUCUAAAAAUCCUUUGCUUAUUUCAAAAGGGAUUUUUUUCUUUUAAGUGACUCUUUCAUCUUUGCCUCCCACCUUGUGAUUUUCAGUUAAAUUAUUCUUUUUUUCACUUUAAUUAUCCUAUAUGCAAGUUGUAAAGAGCACGAAAAGUGAAAGAACUGCAAUGCAUCUUUUACAACAAUUUGAGGCACCAUCACUUUUCUCUGUACUAAAUGUGGGCAUAAUUUGCUGCCCCUUCUAAAUUUGUCAUUUGGGUUUAAGGUUUUGGACGAUUUUGUUUUAGGCUAAAAUGUAGUCCAUCGACUAGUUUUUGGCUAUCAUGGUAGCUUUUGCACUGGGCACCAAUGCUUUGUAAAUCAUGCACUCCAGAGAAAAACAGGUGCCUCUGCUGCAUCUUUUUAGAGAUUCUGCUUGCGAUUUCCUGCUUAUUAGUGCUUGCCUAUCAUCGUCUUUUCCCUUGCUGACUCACAAUUACGCUAAGUGUUAUCAUCCUGUCAAUAGCAAUUUCAUGGCCCAGAAAUUUUGUAGCAUUUAACGUCCUCGGUAUAGACAAAACAGACCAACGCCCUCUACCCCCACCUGAAAAUGGAUGACGAGUCAGUUUAGUUUGCCUUCGGUUUUUUAAGGUUAGAACUGUCGAUAAGGUUUAGAUUUCUAAGACACUGACAAUGACUGGAAAAUGAGUGCAGUGGACCACGGUACUGAUACCAUUACACCCUUUAUCCCCGCCUGAAAAUGGUUUAGUUCGCUGGUGGUUUUCUAAGGUUUGAAUUGUCUAAGGUUUAGAUUUACAAGACACUGACAAUGACUGGAAAAUAAGUGCAGUGGACCACAGUAUUCAUACCAUUCAAGCAGUUCAAGUAAUUUCUGCGUAGAAGACACGACUUUGAUGCAAACUUUUCAUAAUAGAUCUAGACCAGAAAUUUAAGAAUGAAGACAAGUGAAGAUAAGAGAAAAGCUGUGAACAGUUAUUGGUUGUUAAGUUUUCUGUACUCUUUUAAGACUGUUCAUGGAUGUCCUUUGAUUUUGACGGAUUAACAACCUGUGAGGACCAGGUAUGAUGCGUAUCUAGGAGAACCUUUUUCCACUGUAUGAUAUCCCUUUUGAAAAAUCCCAUAUGGCUUUGCACUGAUGUGAUAAGUGCAAGAGACGUUUGCCAAAAGUUGAGGACAAUAUUUACCAAUCCCUUGACAUCCUCCCCAGUUUGUCUGAUGGAACUUGUCUUAGCUUGAAAGAGAAAAAUGAAAACUACUGUUCUAACAGAUAUAGCCCUUGGAUUACGGGCCUUUACAGUGGUACAGUGUAUGCACUAUCACAACAAUUGUAUAUACGAACAUGAUAGAUGUAUACAUGAACAACGCUGUAAGAAAUCAACAUUUUUCAGCAUGGUAAGUCUCAACUGUUUAAUUCAAAAAAUACUGAAUCUAACCACGAAUUUGACUCUGCCAAUAUAUAGGCCUGUUAGUCUUCCUUCCAUCUUAUUGUAAUGACCAGCUGCUACACCUGUCACCGGAGCGGUCCACAAGAUGAUAUAAGAUUUGCACAACUGCAUAAUAACCAGUGAAUUCAUACGUGGGGUAGAUGUAACUGUUCAAUUGUAUCAAAAUCCGUGGGACCAUUGGACUUACAGGUGACAGGAGAAGCCCUGAUCCGUGGGGAAAAGUUAAUUCUUUUUGGGUUGGAUAUUUUGUUCAUUGCACUUUUUUCUUCUCCAAUUCACUAUUUGGAAACCUGCUCUUUCUUUUUUGCUUUUUUGAGUUGAGAAAUUUUAAGAGACAUCUCUAAGUCUGUACCAGAGUGCUCGACUUUAAGCUUUGGAGAUUCUGAUGAAUUAAUCCGCAUAUGCAUUCUGAAGAUGUUCAGUAUGUUGUAAUAUCAACCUCUAUAUAAUUAACUAGAUUGGAGUGGGGACUGAUUUAGUUUCAAAGUCUUUAGCAGAAUGUUUGAUACAAAAAAUCAGUUGAAACUACUCAAAACUAUCAAGUUUUUUAUGAGAAGAAACUAGAAAUAAACUGAAUCCAAUGCAUGGAAAUCCUCUAUCAGUUCAUUCGGAUGACAAUGAUGGAAGACAUUUCUACUUGAGCAACAUAUUAAUAAUCAUAAUCUAUGCAGGGGACAGUGAUACUGAUCUUCCAGCCUGCUGAGGAAGCUGGGAAUGGAGCAAAGAGAAUGAUAGGAGAUGGGGCAAUUGAAGACGUUGAAGCCAUAUUUGGACUUCAUGUAUCACAUUUGCAUCGAUCAGGCAUCAUUGGAUCAAGACCUGGACCUCUACUUGCAGGCUGUGGCUUCUUUAGAGCCACAAUCAGCGGAAAAGAGGGUCAAGCCGGGAAUCCUCAUCACUCUGUCGACCCCGUGCUUGCUGCCUCAGCUAUUGUAAUCAGUUUACAAAACAUUGUGUCCCGUGAAGCAAAUCCCCUGGACUGUCAGGUGCGUGUAUAUCCCCAAAAAAAAAAAAAACUUCAACCUACAGUCUACUUUACAGUCCUCAGUUUUAGCUAUUUGGUAAAAGAUACCUUGGUAAUUUUAUCAAGAUAAUCAAGUACUUCCACAAAACUCAACAACGCAAGAAAUGGUAUGUAAUGCUGCAGUCAUAUCUCUAAAAAGAGGAACAGGAAGAUCCCAUUAAUCAUUGUCGGUCAAGUUAACUGGCCAUUAGACAACCUGAUAACGAUGGACUCCUAAAAACUUCUCAAAGUAGGAACAUGUGGAUGAAUGGUAAAAAUGAUCAGAUGAGAACAUUAUUCUGAUGACUAUGCAUAAGAUGCACCAGUUGCUGAUUGAUUUCCGAAUGCCUAUCAAUUUUCAGGUGGUUUCAGUAACGUCCUUUAAUGCUGGGGAAGAUCUAGAUUCUAUACCUGAUACGGUCAUACUUCAGGGCACCUUCAGGGCUUUCUCUAACACAAGCUUCUACCAAAUCCUAGCAAGGAUUAACCAGGUUUGUCAUUAAGCAUUGUUACUCAGAUCAAUUUAGCUUGCUUAUAUCUUCUUGUGAUCGUCCAACAAAGAAGCUGAUACUUGAAUAUGCAUCAUCCGAUACAGGUCAUUACAGAACAAGCCAGAGUUUUCAGAUGCUCAGCAACAGUUGAGUUGUUUGAGAACGAGGAUCGAAUUUAUCCACCAACGGUGAAUGAAGAACAGAUGCACGAGCACGUGAAGAAGGUCUCUAUUGACCUACUAGGUCCUCAAAAUUUCAUGCUUGCUGAGCCAGUGAUGGGUGCUGAAGAUUUCUCAUUCUACAACCAAGUAAUCCCUUCUGCCUUCUUCUUCAUAGGAAUCAAGAAUGAAACUUUAGGAUCUAUCCACACAGGUCACUCACCACAUUUCAUGAUCGACGAAGACAUCCUACCAAUAGGUGCCGCAACUCAUGCUGCCAUCGCAGAAAGAUACCUCUACGACCGAAAAUUAUGAAGUUAAGGAACUCUUAACUUGUGCAAUAACUAAAACUUCUAUUAACCGAAACUAACAUUUUCUUCCUAGGAAAUUAGUUAGAUGAGUAGAGGGAAAGACGUUCCCCUAGUGGUCCAGAUGGAUCAAUAUUUUAAUUCUUUGUUAUUUGUCAAUAUUAACAUGUUAUUAAUUAAGAGCAAUUAUCUGCUUUGUUGAUUUCAUUAAGAGAUGGCUGAGCUCCUAAUGCCUUAUUUGCAUCAACUUUGCAAAGUGGCAUCAUUGCACAUCUUUCACUAUUUAUAAUAGGUAUAUCUUUUGUACAUUGUCAGUGUAUACAUAAUGAAUCUAGAUACACAUUACAUAUGUAAGUUUAGUGUUCAAAUUCAAAUUAAAAUGAUCUGACAUGCAUUAAAACCAUCAGUGUAUAGAAUAGAUUAUUUCUUUAAUAAUACGAAGAUAAGACCAAAAGGGUGACCUUUAAUACUUUUGCAGCUAUGCUUGACCAUAUUCUUUUGCCAAGUGUCAACAACCAAAGUUUACUAUUAACUUCAAAGAGCAGUAGCUUACCAAAAAUUUGACUUCAAAUUUACCACCAUCUAGCGCUUCAUAUUUCGUGUGCAAUACCAUCGAUGCCGUUGUAGUGGAAUUUAAGUUUUAACUACACUAAAACCUCUACAAAUUAAUAACUUUAGAACUAUACAAAUUCAAUUAAUUUAAAGAGAUAUCAAUUAGUCGAUAAAUUAAUAAUUUAUUAAUUUUAUUGAGUGUACUUAUAAUUCAAAGAAACACUCAUUUAAUAAAUUAAAGUGUUAUUUUAUUUUAUAAAACUAUUAAGUAUUCUAUGAGCAAAAGGAGGCUAAAAAUCUAAGAAAUAUAAACCAAUCCAUAUCCAAUUGAUUUGUAAAAAUAAUUUACUCCUAUUAAUGUCCUGAAUGUACAUAUGUAAUUGAUAUCAUUUAAUUCUAUUAAUGUCUUCAAUGAGAUUAAGAUAGAUUUAAAUUUUAAGAAAAAACUAACAACAGACUCAUAUUUUAGAAAAAAAUAUGAUAUGUAAUUUUGGUGAAUUAUUAACUUAUAAUAUGAAUAGGAACAAACAGUUAUGUAAGGUUUUCAAAAAAUCAUUAUCUUAUUAUUUUAUCAAAAUUAUUGAUUUAGCUAAGUCGGGACCAAAAAAUUAUUAUUCAAUAAAUGUUAUUAAUUUAUAGAAAAUUUAUCGUAGCCUACCAUUAGAUGCUAAUUAAUGCAAAACUACUUCAAACAAAAGGAAAAAAGACAUCAAAAUAGAUUUUACAUUUACAUUUCUUGGGGGAGGGUUGGAUUAGGUGAUAAGGUGGGAAUGAUUAUAAAUAGAAUGUCAUGGGUUUAGGAAGUCCCACAUACCAAAGAGAAACUGCAUUUCUCAUAAUAGGAAAGCAAAAUCUUGAAGGUAGGAUCCCAAAUUUUGGAAAGCUCUAAGGCUAUGAUCCCAAAAUUGGACAAUUGUCAUGCUACAUUCUUUCCAAGAAUUUUUUAGAAAGCUCAAUGGCUAUGCUACAUUCUUUCUUUUUUGUACAAGAAAGAUAGCCUUCCAAGAAUGAAUUUUUUUUACAUGACAAUUGGCCAAUUGUUGGAACAUAAACUUCGAACUUUGUAAAUGUCUUUUCUUUAAUUUUAAAUUGUAAAUGUUUGGAUGCUAAUUUCAAUAUUUUCAAAAUAAUUAGAGGUAGUUUCACCAAUUUUGUAACGUAUAUUGUUUUACUUUUUUCACUUGUUAAUUUUUAAAUGCAUUAGAAUUUCUUAGUAGUGCUUUCCAUGCGAUACGAACUGCCAUAAACGUUGCUCUUGCGCUAAUGGCUUCUGUGGAAGCUAGAAUUGUGUAAAUCUUUAUGAGUUUGUUUCAGAAGAAUUAGUCUUUCGAUCUCUUUAAUUUCAUAUACAAUAUACUUACUUUGUCCCCUAGUCUUUUAAAUUGGCUUAGCGUUUGAUAAAACUAAAAUUUGAAAAAAAAAAGUCUGAACUAAUUAAAUUAUUGAAUUAUUAAGUACUAAAUCUGAUACAUUUGAGCGUAUAUUACACUAAAUGAUAAGUGAAUAGUUUAUUACUUAUUUUUUGGAACAAGUUUUGUCUAAAAAAUUUAGUGCCACUUAAUUAAUUCAAAAUUUUCAUUUUUGGGUAUCGAACGCGUCUAAACAUGUUAAAAUCUAAUUUCAUUAAAUGUUGAAGUGGAUUAUUAAACAGCACCAAUCUGCUCUAUACCAUUUGGAUCUGGGGCAUAAACAAUCAAUUGUUCCUAUGUUUUUCGAAAAUGUAUCUGUCUGUUGACAAAUUCAAAAUCACUAUGUAAAACACGUGAGCACUCUUUAACAGAAUUUUAUUACCAACAUAAAACUAUUUAUCACGAAAAAUAAAUCUCUGUGAGUUUCAGUACUAUAUAUACUUGGUGAAAACGUACCGCACAAUUCAAAAUUCGUGCUAUUGGCCAAUUCUUGGCCAAAAAACUAAACUAAUGGAGCAUGCCUCAGAUCCAUAAUGUCUCCACAGUAUCGAAAACUAGGGUUAAUUCCAAAAGAUCUCCAAAAAGUAUUUUUUCUUACUUUGGCCCCUUGAAUAUUGAAUUGAGUCACUCUAACCCUGUGAAAUUGAAUACUUCCCAAUUCGAGUACCAUUGGCAUAUUUGGCUCCGUUUCUGAUUAAGUUGAUAAUGUGAGAUGCACAAUUGAAUGUGGAAAGACUAGAUGCCCCCAAAUAAGUUACGUUGAAUGCGUCAUGGUAACAAUACCUAUAAGUAUAUAUAAUGGAUCCAUAUGCAUCAAACUAUUGUCUGUACGGCCCCAAAAAAAAAAAAGAUAUAAAAGGCAAAAUAGACCAAAUAUGAUUUUCAAGUGCCUCAUUAUUUUUGAAAAUGGGAAAAAGUAUUUUAGAGAUUCCAUGUGUACCAUUUAGUUUACACAAUAGUUUUGUGUGUAUUGAUUUAUUAGACUAAGGGAUAUAUUAAGAACAUAGUCUAUCUAACGUCAUUGGAGUGAUUUGGUCUUUUUCAAAAUAGUAUAUGUAUCUCAGGUGAGCAAUUCAGACAGAAAUUAGGCUUGCUAUGUUGAUUAUACUUGAUUAGAAAAAAAAAUUAAGUACCAUUUUUUUGGGGGGGGGGGGUGGUGGGGGAUGUGGAUUGAUCUAAUUCAACAUUAAGGGGGACAAAGUGAAGAAAAGGUAUUUUCUGGGUGGGCCUUUUUAGAAUUUACCCUAAAAUCUAAAGGGGAGCAAAAAAGACCGUGCAUUGUUCCCUUUUUAAGUCAAUACGUUGUAUCUAUAUCUAGUUCCGAACUCUUUUGGAUGAAUCUAAAUUCGCUUAUGUAAUAAAGGCCCCAUUUGUCUAAAACUUUAAUGUAAUUUGCUGUAAAAGUUAUAGGAAAAAUUUUUGAAAUGUGUAAAUUUUUGGAUAUUUUGAAAUGUAUAAUUUAAAAUUUUUGAUAAAUUUUUUGAGAUUAUUGUAAUUAAACUUGUUAAAAAACUUGUAGCUGACAAAUUUGGCCAAAAACUUGUUUGCCAACUAGGGCCAAACUUCAAUCAUAAAUUAAAGGGAUAAUUACAGAAACCUCCCCUGAGGUUUCUGACAUUUACACUCACCUCCCCUGUGGUUUGAACAAUUACACUAACCUCCCCUGAGGUUACUAAUCCUUUACAAAUUAAAAUAUCGUUUUAGAGAGUGAAACUAGAAUUUUGUACCUGAUUUGCCUUUGUGCUACAUGUCCAAUGAAUGGCAAAGUAUUACAAAUUAAUUAACAAUUAAUAAACUUUAACGAGCGUAGUUUAUAGGCAAAUACGUAUUGCCUAUUUAAAGUACCAGCUCUUUACAUGAAUUUUAUUUUCAAACAUUUACUUUAUCACAAAUAUUUAUUCUCAAAUACAGAUUUGUAUUUACUCUCAAAUAUUUAAUUUUUGUUAAAUACAAAACCUACCAGUUUUUCUUCCGUAGAAAUAUUAAUAUAACAUUUUUUCAAUUUCAAUUACAAAUAUUUAUGUAUUUAACAUAAAUUAAAUGAUUCACAAUAAAAUACUUAUAAAGAGCUAAUACUUUACUCAUGUAAUGGAUGAAAGCCAUAAAAAAUUAAUAUUUUAUAGGCCAUUUCUUUUUUUUUUUUAAUUUUAAUUUAUAUUAAAUAGAAAACCUAUCGAUUUUCUUUUUACAAGAAUAUUAUUGUAACACCUUUUAAUUUUUAAUUACAAAUAUUGAUAUAUUUAUUGUAAAUUAAAUAUUUAAAAAUAAAAUACAUGUAAAGAGCCGGUAAUUUAAAUAAGUUAUGCGUGUUUGCCUAUAAACUACACUCCUUACUUAAAUCAAUAAACUACACUCCUUAACUUAAAUCAAUAAACUAUACUCCUUACUUUAAAUAGUGUAGUUUAUAGGCAAAUACGCAUAUCCUAUUUAAAGUAUCGGUUCUUUACAGAUAUUUUAUUUUCAAAUAUUUAAUUUAUGAUAAAUAUAUUAACAUUUGUAAUUAAAAAUUUAAAAGUGUUAAAGUAAUAUUCUUGCAAAAAAAAUCAGUAGGUUAUCUAUUUAAUAUAAAUUAAAUAUUUUUUACAAAAUAAAUGGCCUCAUAAACUAUUAAUUUUUUAUGACUUUCAUCCAUUACAUGAGUAAAGUAUUGGCUCUUUAUGGAUAUUUUAUCCUGAAUCAUUUAAUUUAUGUUAAAUACAUAAAUAUUUAUAACUAAAAUUGAAAAAGUGUUAUAUUAAUAUUUCUACGGAAGAAAAACUGGUAGGUUUUGUGUUUAACAAAAAUUAAAUAUUUGAGAGUAAAUACAAAUCUGUAUUUGAGAAUAAAUAUUUGUGAUAAAGUAAAUGUUUGAAAGUAAAAUACAUGUAAAGAGCUGGUACUUUAAAUAGGCAAUACGUAUUUGCCUAUAAACUACGCUCGUUAAAGUUUAUUAAUUGUUAAUUAAUUUGUAAUACUUUGCCAUUCAUUGGACAUGUGGCACAAAGGACAAAUCAGGUACAAAAUUCUAAUUUCACUCUCUAAAAUAAUAUUUUAAUCAUUUGGACUGAAUUUGUAAAGGAUUAGUAACCUCAAGGGAAGUCAGUGUAAUUGUUCAAACCACAGGGGAGGUAAGUGUAAAUGUCAGAAACCUCCCCUGAGGUUUCUGAAAUUAUCCCAUUUUUGAAAUCCUAGUCACUUCAUCUUCAACUUUUGUUGUAGGAAUUGAGAGCCGUUGGAUUAAAAUAUCUUUAGAAAGAAACAUGCGACGGGGUAUUGUCAAGGGCAGAGAUGACGAUGACGACUCAAAAAAUAUUGAGGAAAGGUCACCUGCAGGGUGCUUUCCCACCAUCACCUCCAGGGCUAGGACGCCAAAGCUGUAAACGUCGUUUUUGGCAGUUACCUCCAUUAAGCAAGCAUAUUCUACAGUUCAUCAGACAUGGAAGAGGAAAAAUAGUAUAUUAAGUAGAAAACCACCAGUCCAAAGCCUCGCGGCCACCACCAAAGCAUUAAAAGUUUGGUGGCGUGGGAGGCAAGAUUUGCCACAUUAAAGUGACUUUGUUUAAAAAAUUCAGGUAAGUUCGUAGUACAUCCGUCUGGUCCGGUAGUGAUUCAGUCCCCUUUGGAUUAUCCCCGGACCUUCUUAGGUCUGCCCUUUCCCUCUAGUGUAGGAUAAAUUAGGUUAUAUAAUAGUUAUCGUCUCUGAAAAAAAAAAAGUAGAAAACCAAGAAAAGGCUAUACUAUACAUAUUUGAUUUUCCUCUAAAUUGGUGUAUAUGAAAUUUCUUUGCUGCAUGUAUAUAUAACAUACAAUCAGUAUACUAACUUGGAAAUUGCUACCAGUUAGUGUGGCAAAAACUAUUAUAUGCUAGUAUAAAUUUACUUGAAAGGACAUAAAUUAUGGCAAAGGUACUUGUAACUCAAAGCAGAAGGACCUAGUCAAGGAGCAACCAUGUGAACUUUAAUAUGGUUUUUGCCACUGUUCAACUUAUAAACUCAAUUUUGAUUUGCUAAUUUACAUAUCCUCGUGUACUUUCACAUACUAUAUAUAGCCAAACACCUUUAGGGGGAAUAGAAAAAAAAAACUCAGAAUUCAACUUAGGUUCCGUUUGAUAAAACUGAAUCUGAAUUCUGAAGUCUGAAUUCUAAAAUCUGAAUACUGAAACAAUUAAUUUGCUGAAUUUUAAGCACUAAAAAAAAUAUAUGAAUGUCUGAAUUUUAAUGCUAAAUCUAUUUAUACCGUUUGAUAAAUAUUUAUAACUGAAUGCUUAAUAAGUUUAAUUUGACAAUUUUGCCCUUAUAUCCUUUGAUUCAAAAAAGAAAUAGAAUUUAUGAUUUAAUUAGUUUAAAAUUGUUAGGUAUGAAAAUAGAAAUAUUUAUUUUUAAAUCAAAUUAAUAUAAAAGAUGAAAUAUAUUAUAUGAGGAGUAUGGAUAAGAUGUAAAAGUCAUUAAAAAGGGAGAAAAGAGAAACUAAAAAUCGUUAAAUAGAGAAUAUUAUGUUAUUUAAUUAGAUACGAAUUUUGAACAUAAUUAGCAAACAAGGGUAGAUUUGGUAGAUAAGAUAAGGUAGUUGAAGUAAUUCUAUUGAUUCUUAUCAGAAUUAAGCAUUCAGUUAGGAUUCUUGUGCUGAAAAAAAUACACACAGGUUCAGCACUGCUUAACAAGUUCAGCAAAUAGAUUUUCAUUUAUCAAACACUCAAAACAUCUGAAUGUCUGAAAAAAUUCAGAUUCAGCACUUUUUUAUGUUAUCAAACAGACCCUUAGUCUCUAGCCUUUUUCCCUUCCACAUUGUUGAUUGACUAAUCGUCAAGACAAAGAGAGUUAAAAAGAGUACUUGGAGGUGCAUAUCCAUGUGUACCAACGAAUGCAGUCAGAUUGGAGGAGUCUAGGCUCAGGAAUCUUGCUGUGCCAAAGUCCGAAAUAUGAGCAUUUUCUUGAGAAUCUAACGAAACAUUCUUGCUUGAUAUGUCCCUGUGAACCAAUGGAGGUGAAAAAUCAUGGUGCAUAUAGCAUAAUCCAUUUGCAACAUCUUUCACAAUAUUAACCCUUUUGGACCAUGGAAGUUUCAAUGCUUUUUCAUCAGUUUCCAACAUGUUAUAAAGGAUUCCCCCUUCUAGGAACUCAUACGCCAAGAAUGAGUGUCUUGAAUGACUGCAAAAACCAUACAGCUUCAUAAUGUUGCGAUGUCGUAAUUUUGUUUAAUGCGCUUUUUGCAACAUUGAAUGCACCACUUUCUAAUUGCAUGAAUCUUCUUCACUGCAACAGUCUUCCCAUCUGGCAAUUCUGCUUUGUAAACACUUUCAUGCCCCCCGUGUCCAAUGCAAUGGUUUGGACUAAGGUAAUCUGUUGCUUCAAUAAUGUUUUGAUAUGCCAUCUUCCCAUCAAAGCUCGAAAUGGAUAACAAAUUUUGUACAGAUCCUGAAGGUCCUGAAGGCUUAUUUUCCAUGAUUCUUUUACAAGAAUUCAGACGGAAGAAAAUGCCAACAACAGUCAUGAUCAGAAAAAUCAUAGCUGCCACUAUAGCAAGAAUAACCAAAAGAAGUUUCCUUUUGCUUCUCCUCCUCCUAGAAUCCUCCUUUUUCCUUGGUGAAAGGCAUGGAUUUAAUCCAAAAGUUUUACCACAUAAAGUUUUAUUGUUUCUUAAGGCUCCAAAAGAAGCCUUUUGAAACUCUGGAAUGUUGGGAAGAGGACCCUCUAAUUGGUUGUAGGACAUAUAGGUAGAGAUCAAACUAAAACACUGAUCAAAGCUUGAGGGGAUGGUUCUUGAUAUCUCAUUGUGUGAAAGAUUCAUCUUCUCUAUGCUUGGCAACCAUCCAAACUGUUCUGGUAUUUUACCAAUCAGCAUGUUAUUGCUCAGAUCAACAGUUUCUAAGGUAGGUAUAAAGCCUAGUUGAGAAGGAAUACUUCCUCUAAGCUUUUUUUGACUUAAAUUCAAGUCCCCUAGUUGCAUACAAUCUCUCAACUGCUCCGGAAUUUUGCCGGUAAGAUCGUUGGUUGACAAGCUAAGUUUGGCAAGUCGAGAAAACUUGCCAAUUUCUAAGGGAAUGUUGCCUGAAAGCUUGUUCUCAUUCAACUUAAGCUCUAGCAUUAAAGUCAAAUUGCCCAAACUUCUCGGAAUCCCCCCAAAUAAUUGAUUUGAAGAAAGAUCAAGUCUCUGAAGUUGAAAUACCUCUCCAAGCUCAGUUGUUAUUUUGCCAGUAAUGUUGCUGCCGGAAAUCUUUAAGCUUGUUAACUUUUUGAAGUUACUCCAGUUUGAAGGCAAUUCGCCAUAAAACUCAUUGUAGCUUAAGUCAAUGUAAUCAGAAUUUGGAUAUAUCCCAAAAUCUUCUGAUUGAUUUCCAACAAAUUUAUUUCUUUCAAUUCGGGUCCUUUGCAAACUAGUGCAGUGUCUCAAGCUUUUGAGAAUGUUCAUAUAUUUUUGUGUAAAUGACCAUGAAGAUUGUAAUUACCCAGUGACAACACUAGUUUGUUCGAGGACAAACUCGCCUUGGUAAGGGAAUGCAACUGUCCCAUUUCUGAGUUUCAAAACUGUGAGUCUAGUCAAGUUGCCAAUAGAAGAAGGAAUAAAACCAGAGAGCUCAUUUUCAUGAAGAUACAACAUUUCUAGAAGCCUUAAGUUUCCAACAGAUGAAGGAAUUGAACCUUUGAGCUCAUUACAUCCUAGAUCAAGAAAAACCGCAUUCUUUAGAAGCCCAAACUCCCCCGGAAUUGAGCCAUUUAUAUGGUUGAUUCUAAUGCUAAAUAUCUAACAUUUAUCAGUUUCCCUGUUUCAGUUGGAAUUUCUCCAGACAGAUGAUUAUUUAAGAAAUUAAGGUACCGGAGCCUAGAAAGGCUACCGAUGUUGGAAGGAAUAGUCCCGUGAAAUGAAUUGUUUAUAAGGUUAAAAGUACAUGAGAUAGGGAAAGCAUGAAAAAUUGAGACUCUGAAGCUCACCAGUUAUACCACAAUUUGCAAUAUGUUUGGUUUCAACUCUUCCAGCUUUGUUGCAUCCAAUUCCAGGCCAAUUGCAAUGGUUGCUACCAGCUCAUGAUGAUAGGCAUGACUGACUUUUUCGUCGAAGCUGGAUUUUCAUGCCGCAAGAGCUGCCAUUUAAUUUCUAACUUCUGCAAUUUCUUCUGCAUUUAUGUGAAAACAUUCAUGCAGUGAGAGGACAAAAGAUGCAUCCAAAUACCAAUUUCAGAAAGAAGUUCAUUGGCUGUUAGGUAGAUUUAUAGAUGUGAAGAAGCUUAAUUUAGUUUAGUUCUGGAGGGCUUUAAUGCAAUGAGAAGCCUAUUUCUACAUCCGGAAGAUUUCUUAGUAUUAGUCUCAUGCAUUCUCAUCGCGUUAUAUUGUAAAAUUUUUUAUGCUCAAAACGAAAAUUCUAAAAGACUAUUUUGUAAGUUUCAAACUAUUUGAAAACCAGUAUAACUACAACAUAACAGGUAUAUAGUUAAUAUCUACUAAUUGAAUAUACAAUAUAAUUGAUAGUAUUUAAAAAAGCCAUGAAUAUACUAGCUAGUGAGAAAGAUUACAUCAUUAAACAUUAUAUGCAUGAACAUAACUAUUUAGCCGUUUUAUAUUUCUUUUUUUCUUCAUAUAUUUUUAGAAGUGACCAUUCACUCUACUUUAGUGAAAGAGAAAAUUAAAGAUCAUUUACUUUAGUUAUCUUCUAUUAUUUGAUAUCAAUGGGGCACCAUGUAAUUUUUUUUUUAAAACUAGCUAGUGAGGAAACAUUAUAAAAUAACUGAUUUUCUCAAAGGACUUUUAGGAAAUUUUGGUGGCUAAUGGGCUCUCAUUUUCAAUCCGCCACUGUCCUUACUUGUAGUUAUUGUAGGGAGGCACAAAUAUCUUAAAACGACCAGGAAAAAAGUGAGUGAGUGAGAAUCAUAAAAUAAAGGGCAAAUUACACUUUACGCCCUUGUGAUUUAGUAUUUUUUUACAUAAUAUCUCUAUGGUUCAAAAGUUAUACAUAACCCCCUCAUAGUUUGGAUUAAAGUGUCAAAGUGAAGGAAAUGAUCAUUUGUAACAGAGUCACCCAAAAUGUCAAAAAUAUCCUUAUGUAAAGUUGAAAAUUAUUUAUUUAUCAAGGAGGAUUAUAUGUAUAUUUUGAAAAUCAUAAGGGGGUUAUAUGAUAAAGUAUUAAAUUAUAAGGGGGUUAUAUGGUAAAAUAUAAAAUCAUACGGGGUUAGUGUGUCAUGUAUUUAUAAGGGUAAUUUCGAUAUUUUUAAAGGUUUCGUUAUGAAUGAUCAUUUCCGUCACUUUGACACUUUAAUUCAAAUUAUAAGGAAAUUAUAUAUAGUUUUUGAAACUAUAGGGGGGCCAUGUGAAAAUCACUAAACUACAAGGGAGUAAAGUGUAAUUUGCCCUAAAAUGAACCUUAUUCAGCGCUGGAUUGCCUCGACCCCUUUGCAUAUUUUUCUCCUCCCAAGCUUUUAUGUAUCCAAGAUCAUCAUCGAACUGGUGUCACUUAUAAAGUGAUAUCUGUUAGGGUGGUUGUCUAAAUUUAACCUUUGGUGAAAAUCAUCACCUAUUAAACUCAAAAUUUAUAUGGUGAUUAUUAAGAAAUAAAUUAACAGAAAAAAUUGCGGAAGCACAUCUUGAUCCAUGUUGAAAAACUUGAUACUUGAAUCUCUAAAAAUUUUGGAGUGGCCUUCCAGAUCAACAAGUAUUCGUCAGUCCUUGAGAGAGCCUUUUAGUUUCUUUUUGAUAUCUUUCCUAACGAUGAGAUAUCAGGAAAGAGUUAUUUUGUCGGCACUAAAAAAUAUGACAAUAAGAAUACGCGUGAUCCGGGGACCAUAACCCUAUUUAUAGAUAACAUUUCUGUUACCCUUUGGAUCCCUAUUUCAGCCCAUCAUAGAAAUAAAAAAUACUCUUAAGUCUCUAUACAUUAAAACCCCACAUCCUAUUAGAUUCAUUAAAUCCAAACCAUAUUGAUCAUUUAAUUGGACUUAACCUUAUUUGACAGCUUGCAUCACAUAAUUAUUCACAUGUAAGUCCAAUAUUAGAUUAAGGAUCCAACAAUCUCCCACUUGGAUUACAUGUGUAAUCUUAUAAUCAUGUUUUGCAAUAAAUCAUAUGAGCUCAAUUUUACUGUCAUUAUUAAAAUGUAUCUGUAACCAAUUCGAUCCAUCAAUCACACCAACAUAGGAUCAAAGCGGCCUUUGUUACAAUUUCUUAACUUGACCCAUCAAUGGUCAAAUAUAUUGAUACAAUUGAAUGACAUGAAUCAUGAUGUGGAUGUGUAGUAUGAAAAUUUCAUGUAAUGUGAUCAUAACAUGUCUAUUUUCAACUGGUUCACCUUAAAUUUUCACGAGAUCAAACCAUACCAAAAUCAGAAUGUAAAUAAAUCCAAACUUUAUUUAUGCAUAAGAUAUCCUUAAAUCAUUAAUAAUCGAAAAGUAUCACAAGAGUAUUUAAAAUAACAAACUCCCAUUAAAACUGUACAUUAUUUAAUAACAUGACACCCAUAUGAGUAGUAUGCUCAUGAAACAUUUUUGUAGCAAUCCCUUAGUAAACGGAUUCGCAACCAUGGAGUUUGUCCCGAUAUACUCUAUCGAUAACUGUCCACUAUGUACUAUUUCUUUAACAGUCAGGAAUUUGAUAUCUAUAUGUUUAGAUUUCGUCGAGUUCCUAUUAUUAUUGGAAUAUAGCAUUGCUGACUUAUUGUCACAAAAUAAUUUGAGUGGUCUUUCAAUACUAUCCAUUACAUGUAAUCUUGUGACGAAAUUUCGCAGCCAAAUUCCAUGAUUAGAUGCCUCAUAACAAGUUAUAAACUCUACAGCCAUAGUAGAAGAUGCUAUGAGGGACUGUUUAACACUCUUCCAGGAUAUGACACCUUCAGCCAACAAAUAAAUAUAGCUCGACGUUAACUUCUUAGUAUCUUGGCAUCCAACAUAAUCGAAAUUAGUAUACCCAAUGAUCUCUGACUUAUCUGACCUCCGAUACGUGAGCAUGUAAUCUUUUAUUUUCUGUAAAUACUGCAUGACCCGUUUAAUUGCUUUCCAAUGAUCUAAUUCAGAAUUACUUAAAUAUCUACCUAACAUUCCAGUAAUGUGCGCAAUAUUCAGACGCGUACAAAAUUGAGCAUAAAUCAAAUUCCCUACCGCUGACACGUAAGGAAUCUUUUGCAUUUCUUUUUCCUCGAAAGCAUUCUUAGGACACUAUUCAAGACUAAAUUUGUCUCCUUUAGUCACAAGGGUGUCACAUGAUUUACAAUUUUGCAUGCCAAACCUUUUAAGAAUCCUUUCGAUAUAGCCUUUUUGUGAUAGUUCUAAAAUAUCUCAAGAGCGAUUCCGGUGUAUCUGUACGCCUAACACAAAAGAUGUAUCACUAAAAUCUUUCAUUUCAAAAUUUUUAGUUAGAAAUUUCUUGAUUUCAUGCAAUAGACCCAUAUCUUUGUUGACAAGUAAAAUGUGAUCAACGUACAAUACCAGAAAAAUAUACUUGUUCCUACAGAACUUAUGGUAUAUACAAUCAUCUACCAAAUUCAUCUCAAAAUCAAAUAAGAUAAUCACUUGAUGAAAUUUGAAAUACCAUUAUUGAGACGCUUGUUUGAACCCACAGAUGAAUUUUUUAAAUUUGUAUAUCAUAUUCUUUAGAUCUCCUGAUACAAAGUUUUCUGAUUACACCAUAUAAAUCGUCUCAUCAAUGUCACCAUUGAGAAACGUUGUCUUUACAUCCAUCUAAUGUAAUUCAAAAUCGAAAUGCGCCACUAAUGCCAUAAUAAUUCUGAAAGAGUCAUUUGAAGAGAUCGGAGAGAAGAUUUCUUUAUAGUCGAUACCCUCCUUUUGUGUUAAUCUCUUGGCGACAAGACGAGUUUUGUAUCUUUCCACAUUGCCUUUCGAAUCUCUUUUAAUUUUAAAUAUCCAUUUAUAAUCAAUAGAUUUCGUUCUUUCUGGCAAUGGGACAAGAUCCCAAACAUCAUUGUCCUUCAUAGAUUUAAUCUCCUCAUUCAUAGCAUCGAUCCACUUUUAAAAAUUUAAACUUUUCAUGGUUUGACGGAAGUUGAUUGGAUCAUUUUCUAUCAAUCCAGUGUCAUCCUCAUGUUCUUGGAGAAAAAUAAUAUAAUCAUCUGGCACUACAUUUCUUCUUUCUAUAGUAGAUAUUCUUAAUGGCACUAGUUCUUGGAGAGGGAGAGUUUGUUCUUCUAUAACAGUUUGUUCUUCGAUAUUGUCUUAAUUUAUUAUGUCAUGAUCAAAUUCAGGAAUAGGAUCUUCAACAAGAUCAAUGACACUUGUGAGAAUUUUAAUAUAUUCUUCUUUAAAGACAAUGUCCAUUAUUAUAUUUUCUUCCUCAAACUCAACAUACUCAAAGAAUCGGGCAUUUCCUAUCUCAAAAAUUGAUUUAGUCGUGGGAUCAUAAAACUUGUAACUCCUGGAUCUUUCAGAGUAUCCAAUUAAAUAACAACUAACUGUUUUUAAAUCCAGUUUCUUUUUAUUUGGCCUAUAAGACCUUGCCUCAACUGGACACCCUCAAACAUGUAAAUGCUUCAAACUGAAUUUUUUUCCUAUCCAAAACUCAUAAGAGAUUUUGAUAAUUGCUUUAAUUGAAAUUCUGUUAAGGAUACAUGCUGCAGUCUUAAGUGUUUCUCCCCAGAGUGACUCCGGUAAGGUAGAAUGACAUAUCAUACUCCUUACCAUAUCUUUAAGUGUUCUAUUUCGUCUUUCAGCUGCACCAUUCAUAGUGAAUGAUCCCGGCAUAGUGUACUGUGAGACGAUACCGCAUUCCUCUAGGUAUUUAGCAAAUGGUUCUGAACGUUAUUCAGUUGAACCAUCAUAUCUAUCAUAGUAUUCACCACCACGGUCAGAUCUGACACUUUUAAUUCUUUUGUUGAGUUGAUUCUCAAUUUCAGCCUUAAAACUUUUAAACACGUCCAGUGACUGUGAUUUUUCUGAAAUGAAAUAUAUGUCACUAUAUUUUGAAAAAUCGUCUAUAAACGUUAUAAAAUAUAAUUGAUCAUUCCGAACAGAUUUAGGAAAUGGUCCACAAAUAUCUGUAUGUAUAAGUUCUAAGACGUCUAAGGACCUAUUGGAUUCAAAUCUCCUUUUAUUGGUUUGUUUCCCCUUUAUACAGUUAAUACAAUCAUUAAAAUCUGUAAAAUUCAAGGGGUCGAGAAUUUCAUUUGACACAAGUCUUUCCAUUAUCCGUUUAGAGAUAUGUUCCAAUCUUUUGUGCCAUAAUGCAACCGAAUUUUCGUUGGCUAAUUUUUUCUUUACUCCUCUAAUACUUAAAUUCAGAGAUUCAUUAAAUGAAACAAUUGUAUCAACUAAAUAUAGAUUAUCGUAAUCCAUUAAAGAUCCAAAAUUAACUAAUUUUGAAUCAUGAAACAAUUUAAAAUUUUCAUUUCUAAAUGAACAAAAAUAAUCAAAUUUGUCCAAAAUAGAAAUAGAAUUCAAAUUCCGUCAAAAAGACGAUACAACAAAUGUCUUAUUGAGAUCCAAAUAAAAUCUGGUGUUUAACAAUAAUCUAAAAAUCUCAAUUGCCUCAACUUGAACUAUUUUGUCAUCGUCCACGUAAAUACAUCUUUUAUUAUCAUUAGACUUUCGACAAUUCAGGUAACCCUGCAUAGACACACUGAUGUGAAUUGUUGCACCAGAAUCUAACCACCAUGUGUGUCUAGGUACCAAAUUAAAUUAACCUCAGAAUAAACCAAAUUAAGAAGCAUACCUUUUUUAGCACGCCAAGCGUGAUAGUUGGUGCAAUGCUUCUUUUUAUACCCUUCAACUCCACAGAAGAAACAACUAUUCUUUCCCUGGUCAACUGAUUUCUUUUGUUGUUUCUUUUGUGGUCCUGUACCUGCAACUUCUUUAUCUUUUUUUCUGUUAAGUCCCUUACUUUUAUCAUUAGUGGUUGACACCAUAUGAGCACUUUCUGUCUGAUCUUACUUCAACGUUUUCUCUUCCUCCACACAGUGUGAGAUGAGUUCAUUUAAAGACCAAAUCUUCUUUUGACAGUUGUAACUCACCUCAAACUGGCUAAACUGUGUAGGAAGAGAUAUCAAAAUCAAAUGCACUAGUAAUUCUUCAGAGAGUUUCAAUUUAAGUGCAUUCAAUUUUAAAGCAAGAUGAGACAUCUCCAUAAUGUAUUCUCUGAUAUUACUUUUACCACUAUAUUUUAUUGAAACUAGGCAUGUCAAGAGCGUACUAACUUCAGCUUUUUCAUUCUUGACAAACCCUUUUUCAAUGUCCUAAAAGAACUCUUUUGCGGUUACUGUCGUUUCUGACAUUGUUCUUUUGAAUACUUCUGGAAUGGCUUUUUUAAUGAUCAUCAAAUACAAGUGAUUCGAUCUCUCCUACCUUUCAUUAUUUCUCUUUUCAUCAGAAGUACUCUGAUUUGUAAGAAGUGGGAGAGAAUCAUCCCUUAACGCAAGGUCAAGAUCUAUUACUCCAAAUAUUAUCAAGAGAUUUUUUUUCCAGAACUUGAAAUUUGUGUCAUUCAACAUAAGAAUGCUAUUGAUAUUGGUAGUAAUAUUUGUAAGAUCAUUUGCAACAGAACAGAAAACAUAAAAUAAUUAAAACUACGCUCACAUAAACCAAAUAAUAAUAAAUUCAAAUAAUGGUAACCCUAUUCCAAAAUACCGAUGUUCCAUUAAUAUUUUAUUUUUGGACAAAAAUAUUAACUUCUAAGUGAUAUUUUGGCGCAGUAAUAAAUACUGACAAUAAUAACCUGUCAAAUAAUAAAUAUUCCUUUGGGUCAAUUUAUAAUUCACAUGUAAAAAAAUCAAAUAAUCAUCACGUAUUUAUUACUACAAGUGCACAUGCAAUUUUAUUAGAUAUUGAUCCUCUUUGGACCGAUCAAUAUUCACAAAAUUGUAAGUACCCAACUAGUUUUAUUCUAAAAUAAAUUAAUUUUCACAAUAGAGGUCACUUUGGUGGCAUAUUGUUUCAAUUAAUUUAUUUCAAAAAAUAUAUAAUCAUACCAAUAUUCAAAUUUAAAAUUACACAAAUCAAACAAAAUUUUUUUAUCAAAGUCAACUUUGAUCAACUCUUGUCAAAGCCUGGUCAAAUAUGGUCAAACCAGUCAAUUGGAUCAAGACUUAUUGGACUAAAAGCCCAUAUCCAUAAUUGAACCAAUUUUAUCAUUUAAGUCCCAAAAUUUCUUGAAGUCCAUAAUUGCUUUAUAAAACUUUAUAUUUAGUGGGUCAAAUAUAUGAACUUUAUAGGAUUUAAAUGUCUUAUUAACUUUAUUAGAGUUCACUUAAAUUAAAGAAAGCCUAAUUUUCUUAACAUAAAUAUAGGCACAUUAGCUCUAUUACUCAAGAAAUUAGGUCAAAGAAUUCAAGUAUAAUCAAAUUAUGGACAGAACAUUGAAACUCAGAAUGUUUUCUUGUCAAUUUUAAUCCUUAAAGUGGGGAAAAGCAUGAAUGACUUUCCGAAACUAGAAAACAAAUUAGCUUACAUCAUUAAAAGCAUACGGAUCCCACAAAAUAUUAUGCUAUCCGAUUAAGAGUUUCAAAGAAUUGCAUUCAUGCAUUCUUUCUUAUCAAUUUUGAUCUUUAAAAAUAGGGAAAUUAAAAGAAACCCCAUGUCUGCCAACUAAAGUUUGAUUAAAACAGGAUCCACUUAAAUUAUAUGAAACCAAAACAAUUGAUCAACGGACUGCAGCAAGUACGACCAGAGGCAUAAUGACCGAAACAUAUGACUAAAGAUUGAAACCAUGUAACAUGUGGGCCCUGCCAUGACUUUUGCAACAUAAUAGUUCUAUAGCCAGAACAUAAGUUAACAAUCGGCCAACUCAGACUUGACUAAGGUGGGACCCACUGAAUUCCAUGUUAACCAAACAAUGAAUCGUGCAAUUCAUGAAUUGCCUACUGUCAUGAAAACCAGAUUAUAACAUAUGCAAACAAUCAUGAUGCCGUAAACCCGAAAGCCGAAACACAAGGCAAUAAAUUGUGAACGAAAAGGUCAACAAUCAUGGUUUCAACAAUUAGCCGAUUCUUCACAAAUAUCAUACAUAAUUAUUCUUAAAGAUAAAAAUUACUAAAUCCAAAUUAUUUCUUAAUAAUCAAUCAUAUGGGCUCUGAUACCAGUUAUUAGGGUGGUUGUCUAAAUUUAACCUUUGGUGAAAACCAUCACUUAUUAAAUCCAAAAUUUAUAUGGCGAUUAUUAAGAAAUAAAUUAACAUGAAAAAUUGCAGAAGCGUACCUUGAUUCAUGUUGACAAACUUGAUACUUGAAUCUCUAAAAAUUUUGGGUGGCCUUCCAAGUUAACACGUAUUCGCCAGUUCUUAAGAGAGCCCUUUAGUUUCUCUCUGAUAUCUUUCCUGACGAUGGGAUAUCUGGAAAGAGCUAUUUUGUCGGCACUAGAAAAUACGACAAUAACAAUACGCAUGACCCGGGGACCAUAACCCUAUUUAUAGAUAACAUUCCUGUUACCCUUUGGAUCCCUAUUUCAGCCCAUCAUAGAAAUAGAAAAUACCCUUAAGUCUCUACACAUUAAAGCCCCACAUCCUAUUAGAUACAUUAAAUCCAAACCAUAUUGAUCACUUUAAAGCUCGACCUCUUCAACAUCAAGUUCACAAAUGAACUUCCAUCUCUCAUCGGAUUUGGGGCGAGACAAUCACAAUCCCAUCCCAAGCAAAUGAAUGCCUGAAGGUAGGUCAAUUUGGUGGUGGAAGUGCAUCACCAAACUCGAAAAGCUGCUUUCAUUCUUGCUGAAUAACUGAACAUCAAUCUUUCCAAGGUUAGAAACUCAAUUUCCUCACGUUUGCUGCUGUUGGAAUUUUAAUUUUCUUUGCAUCUGUUGCUGCUGAAAAUUGGGCUUCGCCAAACUUUAGUCGUUGGUGUUUGGAUUCAUUAGUGUAGCCUUGUACCUCAAUUGUUUGUCAAUUUGCUUCAACGAAGUUUAUGCCAAAAUAGACAUCAGCUCUACGUCCCUACUUGCCGGAGAUGGUGGCUUGUGGGCCGUCUGACAAGCUUUCGGACAGUGGGACUUCACUUUUGAGGUCCUUUGCAUCGGUACUGGCAGAUGGUACGAAACAAACUAAUGCCUUAGGCUUGGGAGAGGUCUCAACCUUUAAAGGAGAGCCAACCUUGCGCAUCUCUCGCAGGGAAAUAGAGCAGCUUUCUGUUCCCUUUCAGAACUCUUUGGUGGGGCGCUUCUCGUUCAGCAGACCACCCAUGGAAGUUAUUAGGAAAUUCUUUCUUUCGCUGGGUUUACGAGGUGACUGUAAGGUUGGACUCCUUGACCAGAAACAUGUUCUGAUCCGUCCGGUGUUGGAGGAAGACUACACCCGUCUUUUUGCACGUAGAAUCUGGUAUGUUAGCAGCUCGCCAAUGUCAAUUUCCAAGUGGUCGCUAGAGUUCAAGGCAGACCAGGAAUUAUCGAUAGCUCCAAUUUGGGUUUGUUUCCUAGAGUUGCCAAUCCCAUUUUUUCAGCAGACCCAAUUAUUCAAGCUUGCGUCUACUUUGGGAAGGCCUCUUAAGAUUGAUGCAUCAACUAGUGACAUGCGCCGUCCUUCCGUAGCCAGAAUUUUGGUGGAGCUUAACGUUGCGUCUAAUUCUGUGCGGCGUAUUUGGAUAGGUGAUGAGCACUUCGGAUUCUGGCAGUCUGUUGAGAUGUAAAUGUGGCCAUCUUACUGUGGGUUUUGCAGUAGGUUUGGCUAUGCAGAGGAGCAGUGCUUUCAUAAAAAUCCUUUCUUGCGAUCUGAUCCGCUAAUUCACGAAGUCCCUUCUAAAACACAGAAACAGUGCCAAAUCUAUGUUCCAAAAGUAGUGAAUGAGAAGGAGAAGGAGUUGGAGAUGACGACAGUCCAGAGCAAACCGGCCGCAGAUAUCAACAAGGAACAAGGAAUGUCUGCUGCUCAUGCUCAGACAAUUUCGGAGGCUGCCACUUUAGGGAAUAAUUCGCAAUUUGUUUUGGAUAGUAUUAAUCCUGAUGAUUUUCAAUCGAAUAUUGGGCAAAAUCAUAAGGGUAAGGAAAAGAUGUCUAAUGUUCAAUCUUUGGUUUUACCAAACCUGUAAAGCCGUUGGUUAUACGGGAGCCUCAAGGGUCUGUUGUGGAUCAAAAUUUGAAUAGAAUUGUAUCUCGGAUAGGAAAAGCUACAAAGUCUGUUAUUGUCACAGAUCGAGUUGUGGUGACGGAGCAUGGAACAGAUGUUGGGAUGCAGAAUUCGACUUCGAAUCCACUUGAGGAUGGGGAAUUCACUGAUCCGGAGUCUGAGAAUAACCAUUCCAUUCAACCAGCUAAUGGCGCAUUCACAGAGGCUGCAUUGGAAGAGAAGGCGAUGGAGGCUGGCGACUCCUCACAGCAAGGUAAUGGAAUUACAUCUGAUGUGGCAAACGGUGCGCUCGCGAAGGUAGACCAAGUUCAUGACCCACGUGAUAUGGUGUCAGUUGGAGACACACCCCUUGUGGGUACAAGUACAAGUACAAGAACAAACAUGAAAUCCUCUAUGCCUCAAAAUCCACGGUUUAAAAAUGUGCCACAAUUUAAAGAUGUGUUCAAAGAGAUUAAAUGGGAGAAAUUACAUGGUAGGAUCCCCUCGUAUAUCAAAAGCCUUUUCUUCAUUCAAAUACAACAUGCAAUGGUGACAAAAAUGAAGAAGAAGAUGAUGAUUCACAACGCGAUAAAAACAAAGACCAAGACCAGAAAUUAGUUCACGAACAAUUUACCCAAGUGAUUUCAAAGAAAGCGAGGAAGCAGCUUUCAGAAAAAGGUAAAACAUUGCAAACACGUCAAGAUGUUAAAUCAAAUUCCCAUGCUCACUCACAAUCCCACAAAUGUGGGGCACCAUUAUGUGGAUAAUUUCACUCGAUUCAUCUGUUAUGUGUUUAGAUUCGCAGAUUUUUCCAUAUGUGCAUAUUAUUGUUGAUCCUUAGCUGUCCUUUUUAUUUUAACAGAGGUCAGGUUUGGCCCCCCUCUAAUUCGCUGUACUCUUUUCGGAUAUAAAUAAAUUAAGGGAUGGAUCCCUAUUUAAAUAAAAAAAAGAUAACUUUAAUUGGAUUUAACCUUAUUUGACAGCUUGCAUCACAUAAUUAUUUACAUGUAAGUCCAAUGUUGGAUUAAAGAUCCAACAGUAGCAAUUUAAAAGAUUUCAGCUUUUCUUUCUUUAAAAUAUUUAAAUCACAAAAACAACUAAAUGUCGCUUUAUUACACAAAAGUCAACUUAAAAUCAUAUAAGACUACACAAACAAUAGCUGAAAUACACGUAAAAGAAACACUAAACAUUCUAUAUGUAUUCAAAUGUAAGUAAUUUUCGUAACAAAUAAUCUUAAUUGAAAAAGUAUACUUAAUCGAUUAAUUUUAAUUAAUUAACGGGAUUACAAACACCCCUCCUUAUACCACGAAAUCCAAUUCAAAAUUUUGGAUACCAAUAUUACCAAAAUAUCGGCUAUGUGGCCAAAAUCUAAUCACUGAUAUCCAAAUUACCAAAUAAAAGUUUUGACAGUAAUAAGAUGUUAGUCUUAUUAAAAAACAAAUAACAAGAAUUUGUUUCAACCAAAUUAUGGAUUACUAACCAAUAAACACCCAAAGAGGUAUACCUAGCAGGUAGCAGGGGUUGGACACGGGCCUUGUGUCCCUCUCAUCCGUGGAGAAGGAAGCGUUGCUUGUGCGUUCCAUAUAAUUCAUGUACAUACUUUACUUUCUACAGCCGGCAACCUUUUAUCAUUCUGGUGCCAAAUAAGUCAAGAAAUUGAUGGAACAAAACCACUUUAGUUAAAGUUGGUCACUAGACAAUGUAUAGACGCAGACCUGUUACAAGUCAAGGAUAUAAAUAGUUUUACAUGCAGUUAAAUUCAAAAGGUGUGUAAUAGUACAUUCAUGUGACCUAUGGUUGGUUAUAAUUUAGUUUAAGAAUACUGUGGAUAUGGCUAAUUGAAAAAAAAAAGUAUCGAGAUGAUUAUCUACAACAAUGAAAAAAUUUAAUCUAAAGGAAGUUAAAUUAUGAAAAAAGAAAAACAUAUUGGUCCAUUUCGAUUGAAAAUUAUUUAAAAGAAUCUUUUUGUAUUAUAUAUAAUAAUAUAUUUUUAAUGUAAUGUAUAUGAGAUAAAAAUAUGAUUAGAAAAUGUGUUUAUCAAAUAAUAAAAUUUCCUAUAUAAUGGUAUUAAAAUUUUAACAUAGCUUGACACAAAAAUAAUGGGUCUGUUUGGCAUCGAGUUUUUUGCCAUGUUUUUAAUAGAUAAGUUUUUUUGAUAAUUUUGGUUACAAUAACGCUCUAAAGCACCUCAAAAUUUUUAAUAUACACACCUCAAUGUAUCUAAAAAAAUACAUUUUCUUUCUUUCCCUUCUUUUCGUACUCCUCUCCCAUCUCAAUUCACCGCGGUCAGCUAGCACUCUGUCAACACCAACAUUGGAGCCCUUCCCCUUUUUUUUUCCCCUCCUCCUCCCUCCUUCCCUUCUCCUUCUCUCCCUCCUCCCUCCUCCCUCCCCCCCUUCCCUCUCCCUUUGGUCAUGAAACCAAACGGAGAGGGGGAGAGGGAAGCGAGAGAAAGAGGAAGUGGAGGAGGGGGAGAGGAGGAGUAGGAGAGGGAGGAGGAGAGGGGAGAGAAAUAAAAAAGGAGGGGUGAGGUAGUGGCGGCUACGGCCAGCAGUGGAGAGGGAGGAAGAAGAAGAAAGAGAAAAAAGAAAGAAAAAGAAGAAAAUUACAACGAUCUUUAGAAGAUUAUUUAGAAGAAUCUUUUGGUAUUAUUUAUAAUAAUAUUUUUUGAUGUGAUGUACAUGAGAUAAAAAUAUGAUUGAAAAAUAUGUUUAUCAAAUAAUAAGUGUUCCUAUCUAAUGGCAUUUCUAAAAUUUUGACAUAGCUUGACCAAAAAUUAUAAUUUACUACAAACAUAUCAUGCUUUUCUUAAAGUUGUGAUCCCAAGAAUUAGAGGUCUUGGGUUCUAAUCCCCCUACUCUCUCUUCACUUUGUAAAUCCUCUUAAAUCCCACUGCUUCCUUGUUUGAGAAAUUUGUUUUUUUUUUAAAAGGUAAUAUUAUUUACACUCCUAUUCCAUUAUUUGCACUCCUACUUCCCCAUUUUUCAUUUGAAUGAAACCAUAUUACUCUUUCCCAAAUUUCUUCUCCUAUCCUCAUUGGAUGGCCAAAUCUGGUAAAAUUAACUCAUAGGAAAGGAAAAGAAAUUAGGGCAAGAUAAUAUGGUCUCAUCUAAAUAAAAAAUAUAGGAUGAUAGAAGUGCAAAUAACAUAAUAGGAGCAUAAAUAACAUCACCCCCAAAAAAUCAUGCUUUUUAUUUUGCUUAUGUUUAUUUAAAGGACAAGUAAGCCUGUAACAAGAAUUGGUAAUAACGUGAACAAGCCGGGGAAGAUGUUAGAAGAUGACUCUGGUUUUGUUGGAGGCCGGGCCAUCAUUGCAUGAAUCUUUUUUUUUGGAUAAAUACAGAAUUUCAUUGCAUGAAUCUUCACUUUUAACAGAAAACAUGUAACAGAUACAACUAAAGAGACAUGAAAAUCCAUUGAUACAACAUAUUUGGAAAAUCAAUAAAGAUAAAAAGUAAUAUUGAAACUCCACAAUAUCAUCCGAAUGAAUCAUUCAAUCCAAUAGUUCUGUUUUUAUCAGAUCUAAGAGUUAUAUCUGACAAAAGUUGCUUGUAGUCCAAAGAAAAGUUUAGGUUGAACAUUACAAGACCUUAGAAACUGGAUCUAAAUAAGUCUCAUAUCUUGCUAGAACAUGACCAAAAAAACAAAGGUCUGCUUUGAUAACCUAUUUUCGAAAAGCAAAUUUUGUUUAAAACAUCAUCUACCAUAACACUCUAAAAUACCUACAAGUUUUAGAAAUACACAAAACAAAUGUACAUUAAAUAGGGUAUCAGUGCAGAGAUGGAUAGAGGUGAUAGGUGACGAAGUAUGCCGGUGGUGUGCUGCAGGUGGUAGGGGGAGGGGGAUGGUCAUUUUUUUCUAAAACAAAUACAAUAAGUUACAUUAAAGUUUUACAAGGAAGUGAGAACUCAAAAUUUUUUUUUUUGGGUGAAAGUUAAGGGCUUUAGUGCAUACUGAUACUUAAGAUGUGAUAUUUUCUCGUCUUAUUUUUCGUCGGAUUUGUCUGAAGGUACCCCUCAAGCACUAAAUAAGAGAGACCUCAACCAUUUUUUUUUUUUUUUGUGUGGUAAAAGUGAGGUUGAAUAGUUAAAAGUGCCUAAAUGCAAAUCAUGUAAAUUUGGUGUGCUAACAAAUGGGCUAAAUCCUUUUUCGGUUUAAACUUUUACCUAGUUAUCUAAUUCCUCAAUGUUAAAUCAGUGUUUUUAGUAUUUAAGAAGAAAUUUGUGCAUAAAUUAAUACAAUUAUCCUAAAAUUUGAUACAAUUAUUUAUCCUAAAUUAAUGAGCCUUGAAUUGGUAUUCCACCAUAAAUAGUUACUUCGUAUUUUUCCGUACUAAAUGAGUGACAUACUUGUUUUAAAAAAUCGUUUUAAAUCUUUUCUUCAUAAAAUAUUGGGUCUGGUGGAGGUAGAUAUUUCAUAUUUGUCUUGAAAAUUCAUUUUUAUUGGAAUACAUAUAGAUCGUAUGAGUCGAUAAAAUUGGAACAACAAAGAAAAAAUGAAAUGGCAAGGGAUGGUACACAUCACUUUGCAAUCUUUUUUUUAUCACUUUGUAAUCUAGUUCCAUGAUAAAAUUGGAAUGACAUAGAAGAUUAGAUGGUAUGGGAUGAUACAGAUGAUUUUGUAAUCUAGUUCCACGACAUUAUUAUGUCACACAAAUUAUACACCACUUUCAGCAUUACGCUGUGCUUUUACGGAUUCAUCAUAGUAAAAUUCAUGGAUAAGAUUUUCAACUAUAUGUUACGAAUUGAUUACGAAUUAACUUCACUUUGCCCCUUCAAAGCAAAAUCUUAAUUAAGUGUUUUUUAAACUCGAAUUGGAGUUUAACUCCACUUUGCACUUUUGAACUUGUAUCAUCUUCUCACUUUACACUUUGCAUACUAAACUCUUAAUUUUAUCCUACUUAAGUCCAAUCAAUAAUUACGUUCGUAAAAUUAACGAGAUAAAUAGAUAGUAAAAAUUAAUAACAGUGUAUUGUUUUGCUCCAACUAUGAUCCCUUAGCUUUUUUUUUAUACCAUUUUUAACACAUUAUCAUUUAUUUAUAUGGUCUUAAUUACUAAUACUAUUAGUAAAAUUAACAAGACAAAAUAUAGUGUAAAUUAAUGAUGAUGUAUUAUUUUAUUUUUGCUAUGAUACCUUGGCACCUUUUGAUUAUUUUUGGCACAUUAUCAUUGAUUCAUUGGGUCCUCUAUGAUGUUAAUAUUGCAAAAAUUGCCAUUGAUUGUGCUUAAAUAGGACAACUUGAGAUUUUAGGGUGUAAAGUGUCCAAAAAUUGAGAGUUUUAGGAUGCAAAAUAUUCAAAAUUGAAGUUUUAGGUGUAAAGUGGAAAAAUGAUACCAGUUCAGAAGUGCACAGCGGAGUUUGUCCUAAAAAUACAUAGUUGAAUUGGUAAAAUAAUACUUCUGAAAAUAUUAGUGACCUCUAGUGUACUUUAUUCUUCUCUCUUCUCAUAUUACAUUUCUCUCUCUGAGAAUGUAUCCUAUUUCUAUGUCAUUAACUUUUAUUUCUUUUUCGAACCUAUCUUACAAAUUACUCUGUCCAUAUCAAUUUUGAAAUUUUAAAUUUUAACAUAUUAAUGAUGUAGGAUUCUUUUACAUUUUAUUUAAUAAAUAUAAUUUUCGAAGCUCAAGCAAGCAAUACUUUAAAGAUCAUAAUGUAGAUUGAUGUAAUUAUGUGUAACAUGAAGUAAAGUUUUUUACAUCUAGUUGCAUAUUUUUAAUUGAUAAUUAUCAAUUAUAUUUGUGAUGUAUUUGUGACAUCACAGGUAAAUUACUAUUAGUCGAAUGCUCGAACCAAUGACCAUUAACCCAAGAAUUAUUCGUUUGGGUUUCAAAAUAUAGCCUGCAAACGAAAACUUUGAACUUACCAACCAGAAAAAGAACCAAGUCUUCGAAUUCAGACCUUUAUUAAAGUCCCAUUAACAAGGUUGGGCUUUUUUUUAUUGGGCCACAAAAUAGUAGGCUGACCCUAAACUAACCACUUAGGAUGGACCUGAGAGCUAAGAAGAACAAAAGCAAUUCUGCCAAUUAUACUACUCCUUUUGCAAAGUGCACCCUUAAACUCUAUUAUUAUUAGGGUCGUGACUUAUUCCUUAUUUUAUUUUACCACCUUCUACUAACAUUUUAUCGUAGAUUCCUCAAAAGAAGUUGGUAUGACAAUUUUGUCCUAAUUAAAAUAAAAUAAAAAACUACCCAAAUUUCUCACCUCUCUUCUUUUUUAUUACCUUAAAUCACAAUAACUUUCCUUCUUUUCUACUAAAAUUCCAUCACAGUUCUAUGACCACCACUGUAUCCAUUCAUUCCAUCCCUCAUAUUUGACUUUUUCUUUUUUCAUGCUUUUCACACUCUUUUACCUCUAGAAUAACACAAUUUCAAACCCCCUUUAUAUGGAUCUUUAUCUAUCUCAAAUUGACUAUUCGUCAAUCACCCAACUUUGCAAACCCAAUACAGUUCUUGUAGGGUUCUUUUUGUCCUUUCGGUUAAAAUUGCUUUUUAAACGAACUCAAUUGGAUUGACGUGUCAAAGUAAUUCAUAGUAUGAGGUCGUAAAUUGCUACAAUUGAUAGUAUAGGGAGAAAGUUGGAAAUGAGCACAGUUUAGGGGUAUAGUUUGCAAUUGACCCUAAUAGAAAUUUUAAACACGUAGAACCUUUUCUUUGCAUUAUAAUACUUAGCUAUAUCACGUAUGGGGCAACUAAGUGAAAUGAAUGUUCCUAAUAUUUAAUUGAGCUUCUUUGAAGUCUAUCAACCUAGUUUUUUUUUUCUUUUUUCUUUUUUCAGUUCAAGAGAGACUCCAAACCUUAAAAAUAAGAAAGAGAAAAACAGAGAGUUUGAGAGUUGUUUUAAAAGUUUCAUGGUCAUCUACCUAAUGUCUCAACCAAUUGAGUUGGGUCUAAAAUGGAGCCAGUAUUCUUGUCUAAAGGGCCAAUUUGACAAGUUUUGCCUGUUUCAAUGCCAAAUUUAGAAUCUUUUUUAACUUUUGGAAUCAAUAUAGUAAAAUUAUGGUUAUUUUGAAGGUCAAAAUUAACCGUACAUUCUACACAAGAUAGUAAUAAAAAGGGUAAAUGGCAGUAAAUCUCCUUAACAUUUGGUUCCAAAAUCACUUUGCUUCCUAACAUUUAGUUUUGAGUACUUUGCCCCCUACACUAAUGGUCAAAACUAAUGGGAAGAUGAAGGAUGGAAAUGUCCUCAUACUAGCAGUUGUUAGAUUAAAAUAUCCAUAGGGAUGAGAUCCAAUUUUGCUUUUUUUUUUUUGUAAAAAAUGACCAUGAAAAUGUUUGAAAAAAAUAUGUUUCAUCUCACUUGAUUCAAAAAAAGAAUUUUUAAAAUGAAAAGGACAUGAAACAAUAAAAAGAUUCGCACAUCUACCUCACUCUAAUACUUGAAAAAAUUAUAUGCUUUAAAAGUUUGUUAAAAAAAUCAAUUAAUUUUGUGAAGAAAAAUGUCAAUUAGUAACAUCGCCAAAAUUUGAAGUAACCAAUAUUUGGGACAUUUUUCGGGUAUCUAGCUAUUGAUUUGUUAAGACAAAAUGACAUAGCAAUCCAUAUAUAGGACCCAGGUCUUUCUUUAAAGAUGAUAGAAUUGUAUCUUUAUUUAUAAGAUUAAACCUUCCUACAUUAAUAGUAUUAAUAGUAUGUAUAUUAUCAGUUUUAGAUGAAUAAUAAUUAUCUAAAAUUUUAAUUUAAAAUUCAACUUCUUCACCGAAAAAAUUCAAAGUGAGUCUGAAAUUCAACCUACAAGUGUUGUGGUAUAUUGUAUUUUGAUCGUUUUAGUGCAUAAUUCAAGGUUGGUUAGGUCUGUUAUGAUGCCAUAACAACCAAUAAGAUUGGUUGCAUACAGCCCAAUGAACCCAAAAAAAAAAAAAAAAUCCAAUGAAGGAAACCUACUACUGAAGAAGAAACGUGCACAUGUACAUACUCUUGGAAGUUGUGGAUUAUCUGACAAUGUUCACUGCACGUACUCUUGAAAUUGUGCACUGCCAAUUUGCUUCAGACGGCUAGCCAUUUUUUGUUUUUAUUGCUUUUUCUUUUCGCCACUGCUGCAAAGUUCACGGCUUAUGACGGCUAAUUACUCAGAUUAUUGACAAAAAAAAGAUUAAUCGCACAUGUAUGGCUCUGACAGGGUUUUGGUACGAAUCUAUGGGUGUCGGGCUGUGUCAGCCCGGCACCGCACCCAAAAGGCGACUGAAAAAUUCUGACUCUGACACAGUCCGGCAGCGAUUUUUUUUUUUUUUAAAUAAAGCUGUCGGCUACCCGGCUGACAAGGCCCGGUAGCCGGCAGCCAGUAAAAUUUUUUUUUUAAAAAAGUCCAAUCGUUGAAUUUGAGGUGCCUGACAGAAAAAAAAAAAAAAAAAAGGUGGCAGCGUGUGUUAUUCGACAGCCUACCCAGGACAAAAAAAAAAGGCUGCCUGAAUGUCUUGCUUUAGCAUUUCGUGUGGAGACUUCACUUUUCUACGCAUAAUGCAAGGAAGCCAACUCUUCUGCGCAAGGAAGCCAACUUUUCUACAAUGUGGAGACUUCACUCUUCUGCGCAUAAUAAGCAGAAGCAAUGCAAGGAGGCCAAUUAUGGUAGAAACGCACAAAGAAGUAUAUUCGGCCUAUUCGGCACUGGUGAAAGCGGAUUAUUAUUAGAUCAAAAAUAUUAUAUAUUUUAAAAUCAUAAUAAAAGUCCUCUUAAAAAUUUGUUCAUCAUCUAAUGACCAAUACUUAUAUUUAAUAAAUUUAAAAAGUUAAUUAAAUAUUCUAUUAUAAUAUAAGUAAUUAUAUGUCAUUGAGUCGAUUGAAUAAUAUUUUUUUUUUCUUUUUUUGGCAUUUUAACUAGUUGUCUAUUAAGUUUCAAUUUAAAUAAAGAUUUUAUAAUUAUUUAAAUUAUUCAAUAAAAUUAUCAAUUUAAGAUGAACAUAAAUGUAAAUGCAUUAAAUUGUAUUAUUGAAAUAUUUGAAGGAAAGACAAGAAGAAAUGGCAAGGAAUUUUUGAAAAAUUCAUGUGAGUUUUUUAUAUUGGUAAUCACGUUUAUUUGUUAUUAUAAUCACAAUACCUGAUCAUAACCGAUUGAAACUCAUAUCGUAAUACUAUUUACAACUAAAGUUACUAUAUACUCAAAUUAAAAUUUUCUUUUUCACUAAAUUUUCUUUUAUAUAUGAUGUAUGCGUUAUCAUUUGUUGAUAAUUAAUAUAACGAAAAGAUACUCUUUAGGCUAAUAUGUCUUGACAAUGUGGAUUACUUUUAAGGAUUUUAAUGAGAAUUAGACCACAUUUUUCACGGAUUCAAUCAAAUUCACAUUUUAUUUCAUUUCAUUUGAAAUAUAAUUAUUUAAAACAUAAGAGACGAAAAAAUACGAAGUCAAAUUUUUGACUAAUUCUAAUUAUUUAAAACUUAUGCCACUUGACGUACUAAAUCUCUUUAGUCUUUUAAUUUAAUAAAAUUACGUUUCAUGAAUCGAACAACAGAAAUAGAUGAUAUACCUAUUUGUUAAAUCAAUAAUUACUUCUAUAAGAUGUUAAACUAAACAAAGGCCGUUUUAAAUGAAAAAUCUCAUUCUUUUUACAAUAAGAUGCAGUUCUCAAAUUGUUGAAAAAUUAUUUGCUAAAAUUGUUAUGUAAUUUUUAAUGUACUAUAUAAUUUUAUAAAUAUAAAUUUAUUGUGCAAUAUAAAAACAAAAUAGCCAAAAAAAAUGAAGAGAAGGAAAAAUGUAUAACUUCACAUUGUCAAAUUAUGAAUACACCCAAUAGCGAUAAGUAGAUGGCUAAUAAAAUAUUAAAAUAGCGCUAAACCCCCAUAUUCAAAUAUUUGAAAUUGUAAAACAUGCAUUUGAAAUGAUCAUGUCAACGGCCGGUACGCCUUUUGCCCUUGCCUUUAUCACCUGGUGUUGUAGACGGACAGUAAAAUCUUUUGGGCUUUCGUCUGCAACGAUCACGAAGAACUAUGGGCUCCUGUGGCGCAAUUUCUAUUGAAACAUCAUCAAGUCCUACGUCCUCCUCCUCAUCCGACUCAGCUAUCGUACUGCUAUCACCAUCGUUUUGAGACCGAUACGUGACAAAAUCUCCUGACUGAUCAUAUGCAGUAGUAGAUAUCGGCUGGAUCGACGUAGGCAUGGUCAUAGUCUGUCCAAGACUGUAAUAAUCGGGAAGGUCUGAAAUAGGAGGCACACCACCCGUUUCGCCCAACAAUUUGAAAAUUGGAUGUAGCUCAGCAGUAGAAGAUGAGGCCGCUGCAGUGGCAACGUAUCCAAAUGGAGGCUCGUGUGACGAGGAUGGAAUUUGUCCCCCAAAUACAGAAAAAUAUGGAGAGGGCGUGAGAUAUGUACCAAAAGGUGGAAACUGUGGCAAAGGCGUGGCAUCUAGACCAAUAUGCUAUGACCCUUGCUGAGGCGAUGUCACCUGAGGGGUAAAGGCUGGUAUAUUCUGUCCAGGUGACAAAGCAUGCAUAUCUGUCAUCGGCAAAGGCAUAGAUGUCGUGAAUUGAUGACUAGUCGGGGUGUGCGGCAACUGAGUGGCCCCCUCGGUGUUUUGAAUGCCCGUCUCCUCGAUGACUUCGUCUCGCAACCCAUGCCUGUGCCGCCGACUUCUACUAGAUUAUGGUCCACCUUGUGCAGGGACACGUCUCACGCGAGGUUGGAUAGGAAUUUCUCGUGCCACAGGAGGAUUAUGAUUGAAAGAAUCAAAAUCACCAACAACCAUGUGAUCAAAGCGUUGGAGGUAUUGCAUUGAUCCAUAUGCUCCAUCAACAAUGGUUGCAAGACGUGGAUGAAAUCGACCUUUAUGUUCAAGUGCGUCAUGUGAUUGCCGGCCAAUGCGCUGCAUAGUAUCCAUCUGACAUAUUCAAAAUUGGGAAAAGUAAUAUCACUCCAGAUGUCCAAUAGUAAAUAAAUUAAAUUUUGCGAUAACUUUAACUUACUAAAUACUCAAACUGGCCAGAAACUCCAUGCAACAUUUGUCCAACUUGUGCAUGCUGCUGGAUAGGUGGCGUAAUGUACAAAAUGGUGUGGGAGUGAUACCACUCCAGAUACUUAUUGGAAGGCCUGAAUGUGGUUGUCGGCACACCAGGUACUUGUGCUCCUGCACGCUCAUUCCAGUAUCCUAUCCAACUCCUAUGAAAAUGAGCCCAAUUUCUUCCCGCAUAACCGGAAAGAUCCAAUUGGCGUAAACCUCCCCGAUUAGUGUCAACUGGUUCCGGAAUUUCCUGCCGCAUCCCAAAUUGGCGCAUGACACGAUCUGGACAAUGUAUUUCGACGAUGUGCCAGAAUAUUAGAGGGACCCUUGCUCGCCAUAUGCGCUCCUCCCGUUUGCAGUAAUCAGGUAGAUUAGCCAGUAUACCAUCACUAUACGGCAUCCAAAUAAAUUGCCACCAUAACCAGAAUUUAGGUACGAUCCAAAAUUACUGAUAUCACUAUAAAAUAUACUUUAUUGAGAUAUAAGACUUUAUACCUAAUCCAUUCGUAAUAAGGCUAGCUGCUCCCGAUAAUAUGUGCUGGAUUGGCUGUAAGGGUCAACCCUUGUUCGUUCGGCAGCCCAUCUACCACCUCUAGGAAAAUCUCCAAUUCCAGAAUAUGGGAGUACAACAUGACGAAUCACGGGAAUCCGCUCCCACGCCCAAAGAUGUAGUAACAUGUACGGACCUCUAGAUGUGAUUGUAGAAGCACGUGAUGCAUGGCACAAUCGUGAGUAUAAACACGCCAAAGUCGCAGAUCCCCAACUAUACUGACUCAUGGCAUCCAAAUCACGAACAAAGUCUAGCCAAUUUAAACUGACGACAUUCUGACACGAAUAUGCAAAUAGCAAUCCACCCAAUAGAAUCAGGAUAUACAUACGGGCGUAGUGGCGAACCAUCUGAUCAGAAGCAUCUGCCGGCAGUGGUGUACUCAAUUGUCGGGAUAUGGACGAUAACUUUAGAUGACCGUGGUUGAGCAUGUUAUCUUCUGGCCAAUAUCCCAAAAGGUCGCUAACCAACUGUUUGCGUUGCAAUGGACUACGUUUGCUGUGUACCAAUAUGACAGGUAGACCAUCAACGCUUAAACCCUAUAAAACCUCCACAUCCUGCAGAGUUACAGUCGCCUCUCUCAUAAUUGGAAGGUGAAAAGUGUGUCUUUUGCCUCCAACGCUCCACAAGUGCAUUUAUAAGGCCAUGAUCUACUGUGAGAUAACCGACUCUGCGAAUGCCAUAAAAGCCAGCAGCAUCGAUGUAUUGCGCAACCCGCUCAUCUAAAUGUAUAAGAGGUUGAAAAAAUCUCUUAUCACAGCGCCGAACAUCUAAAUCCACACCAGUGCCUUGAAAAAUUGCAGCUGAUCUAUGUUCGGAUUGUAGAUAUAAAACACUCUCAUCCAAGGGUCCUGGAUGAGGGGGUGCUGUGGUUGUAUUCCAUCGCUCCAUUUUAAAUCCUGUUUUCAGAUACAAAUAACAUAAUUAAUGAUAUGCUAUAACAUAAUGUAUUGAAAAUGCAUCACUUAGAAUAAUAUAUAAAAAUUUUAACAUUUAUUACUACCAAAUACCAGUUCACAUCAAAUACAAGGGUUUGUCGUACUUAUUAGUACAACCAUCUACCACAACUUAUACAAAAAGUUAUUUAUGAAAGUAACUGGCAUAUGGACAGUUAGGGGCAGUGUGACCCGGCUGUAAGCAGUUACUGCACCGGCGUGGUGCAUCAGGACAUCUUAUAUCCAUAUGAUUUCGGAUCCUAGCAGUUCUCAAUGGUCCGGGCAUCCUUUGUUUCAACCGAUCUCCAAUGAUAUUCAGUUUUAAGUCCGCUACGCACCAAUAUUUUGGAUCCCGUAACGGUUGAAAAGAACCGCUGAAUGUAGCCUGAUACGCAGGAAAUGUAUGUUCCUGAGCGACAAGCGUUAUUGGACUAAUACCACACCUAAAACACGCUGCAAUAGCAUGUGAACAUGGGAAGCGCAAUUCUCUCCAUUUUUCACAUGUACACGUGCGACUUCCAAUGUCAACAGUUUGGACAUGACCUCCUUUAUUGCUUUGCCGAUAAGCAGUUGUGAUGCAGUAAAUACCUCUAUGGUGAUCGAACACUUGAACUGCAUGUGCCCUCCCUUUUUUUUCAUUUUUUAUAUAUUUGCCCCACGAUUUAUAUGGGAGGGCGUAUACUUGAUUCCAUGCAACCUUGUAAUUUUUGACAAACAGAUCAACUGUUUGGUUGAAUGUGAAUUGUAUACAUGCAGUAAUUGGCAGCAAUCGAGCGUCCCUCAAUAAAUUAUUGAAACAUUCAGCCAUAUUUGUGGAUAUGUGCCCCCAACGAUAUCUCCCAUCUUUGCACAGAGCCCAUUGUUCGGGUCGAACAGAUCCACCCGUUAGCCAUGCAUACGCCUCCGGAUUUAUGGAAAAAAUCACAUUCAUGAAAUCCUCAUACUUGCGCGACUGAUUUGCCACAUCAGCAGCGUACAUCAAGUUUUUAAGUCUACCAGACGCAGUAAAAUAUCGUCAUAAUGGGUUUAAUACGAAAAUAAUGACCGGUGAAACGUGAAAACAUGUUUAAUAUGUAAAAGUUUGGAGACAAUUUACCUCUCGCACUUGAAUUUCUGUUUGAAAUUGCUCCGAAUAUAAGUCAAACAGAAUCGGUGCACCCCUAAUGGCUCCUGCCACUCUUCCAGUGUACGCGUUGCGUUAAUGAUGCCGUGAUGAUGAUCAGAAAUAAUGCAUAUAUUCUGCACAUCACCACACACAUGAAUGCGUAACAAUCUCAUGAACCAAGGUCAACUCCGAUUAUUCUCCUCAUCUACUAGGGCGUAUGCCAAGGGAAACAUUGAGUUGUUAGCAUCAAAAUCUAUGGCGACAAGAAGUUUGCCCCGAUAAGGUCCUUUUAAAAAGGUACCAUCCACGCAUAUGACCGGUUUUAAAUGGCGGAAGGCUUGGAUGGCAGGAGCAACUGCCCAAAAUAUAUAAUAAAAAAUUAUUCCUAAUGGGUUACUUAAUGGAUGAUGAUCCCACACAACAACCGUGCCUGGAUUCGACAGUUGUAACUCCUCAAUAUAAGUCGGCAGUUGCGAUAUGGAUGUCGGCCAAUCCCCAUACAAUAUAUCAAUGGCACGACGUCUAGCGUACCAUGCCUUCUUAUAUGAAAGAUCGCAAUGAAAUUCCUGUUUCACCGAUGCCUGAAUUUUCUUGAUCUUGUAGACCGGACCAUUCAUAAUAUGGGGAAUAAUGUAUUUGACAAUUAUAUCACUGCUCAAUCCACGGUGGUCGUUACUAUAACAAACACGGACGCAAGUAUGCGCGUCAGCAAGUGUGACAAUCAUCCACAUGUUGUGCGAGCUACGUAAGGUUGCACGAAACUGUCAAUUACAAUGGGGUACUUUGUUACGAGCCCGACAACGGACAUACCAAGUCGUUGGCAUGCUCUCACGAACUCUAAACUCCCUGUUCUCCUUGAUAGACCACAACUUCACAGCACGUUGGACAUGCUCCUUUGUUUCGAACAGUUGGCCCAAUUCUAAAUCUUUGGUGUGUUCGUUCCACAGCCUUAACUUCUCUACUCGCCCAGCAUCAAGGGGAUCAAAAUUUAAUGCAGCGUCAACACCAGCUUCAUAACGCAGUUGUGAUCCCUCACUAUUUAUCCAAGGAGCACUACGAUCCAUGUCAUCAUGGGCCAUAGUCGGGAGAUCUAGAUGCCCUGCUUGACCAAAGGUAUCAUGUUCAUGGCUCUCAUCAUCAGAACCACUAAGAUUGGGCUCCAGUUCGGAGUCCAUGUCAACAUCUACAAACUGAACGUCAGUAGAUGGCAGUGCAUCAAACAUCGGUGCCGAUUCAAUAUCCGCACCUCCAGGACGCAAGUUCGGGGUGUGCAUUAUCGGUCGGGCACUUGUAGUUGAAGGAUCAUUAUUCGUCCGCCGACCAGUACCCCUUCUUCGCCCUCUAUGCCUUUGUUGGACAGCUUCUACAUCUAAUUGGGUCAUUUGAUUAUCAAAAAGGCCUCCUGACUGGAAUAAAGAUAUAUGUUCCGAACUACUACCGCCUUGCUUAGGAUUAGCACUUAUAAUUUUUAAACCGUCGGAAUCAUGUUCUUCUAAACCCAAUAGCUCCUCGACCUCCACAUAUAUUUCGGUUGCAAGUCUACUACCAGAUUGUAAGUAGUACAGACUAGCAACUCCAUUGUCAUCUACCAAAGGCAUUGCACCAAACUUGCCAUUUUUUAGACAACUCCGAUAUAUCAAACUAACCUUAUGGCUGUUCCGAUCUAAACCCAUAGUAGUGUAUAUUCUGUCUACCAAAUCAUCAUAACCCACCACCUCUGUCAGGAACAACACAUUUUUCGGUAUAGGGGGAUCAUAUGAAAUUGAACCCUUUUUGUAUAUAAUUUUUCCUCCCCAAUAUAGUUGUAUCACCAAGCAAUUAUCACUUGACAUGAUAUACCUAUUACACACGAGUAUUGAUAACAUUUUAAAAUCGCAUUAAUAAGCUUAUUUGAAUAAUUAAUUAAUUGAUCGAAUCAAAUAUAUAUAAUUUAUAACAAAUAAAUAUAUGAUUAUAAGUCUAUAAUUAUAACAAAUAAUAACCAAUAAUAUAACAAAUAAUGCAUUAUAAUUAAAUAAUUAAAUCAUUUAUAACAAAUGAACGUAUCAUUUAAUAAAUAACAAAGUAAACCUAAUUAAUCACCUUAAUCACUACAUUUAGUUACAAACAUUUUUUCUUAUGCUAAGUUUAUCAUGCGCCUACAUUUCAUAUUGGAUCAAUUAAAUAACCAUUCUAAUCAAAUAUCUUACUAAAAUUAAAAACCCUGUUUUAAAAUGAUUCUAUGCUAAUUACAUUAAUUUUAUGUAUUUGAUUUAUUAAAUGCGGCAAUUAUUUCAAAUACUUAAAUUAUCCCCACUAAAUAGCUAUCACAAUUAAAACUCAAUACAUGCCUCGACAAAUACAUCUAAAUUCAUUUAAUCGACCCCUUAAAAUUAAUUAAUUACUAAAAAGUGAGAGGUCCUAAUUUAACUAAUUAAACCACAAAACUAAUUAAACUAAUCAGAUACUAAAUAACAUAAGCUAAUUAUCAACUAACUUGCCCAAUAAAGUGAAUUGCAUUAAACUAAUACCCCUAAUUUUGAAAUUAAGCUAACCUAAUUACUUUAUGUUUAUGCAUUUAAUGUAUUAAAUGUAGCAAUUAUUUCAAAUACUUAAAUUAUCACGACUAAUUGUCUAUCAUAAUUAAAACUCAAUACUUGCCUCACCAAAUACAUCUAAAUUCAUUUAAUCGAACCUAUUAAAUUUAAUUCAUUCAACUAAUUAAAAAACAACUAAUUAAACUAAUUAAAUCACAAAACUAAUUAAACUAAUCAUAUACUAAAUAACGUGGACUAAUUAUCAACUAACUUGCAUAAUAACGUGAAUUGCAUUAAACCAAUAAUACUAAUUUCGAUAUUAAGCUAUGCUAAUUACAUCAAUUUUAUGUGCUGCAUUUAUUAUACAUGUCAAUUAUUUCAAUUAAGUCAAUUACCCUAACUAAUUAACAAGUUUUCGUAAUCAUAAGUCAAUAAACCUAGGCUAAGUUACAUUUACAUUCAUUUAAUCAAUCACUUUAAGUACAUUUAUUAAACAAAUUUAAACAACUAAUUAAUCUAUUUAAACUAAUUCAAUCACUAAACUAAUUCAACUAAGCGUGUACCGUGCUAUUAAACUAAUAUUAGCUAACACACGUAAAAAACAAAUUACAUUAUCAAAGGCAUUACAAUGGCUUCAACAAUAAAUUAAAUAUUUAAUUAAUAACAUACUAUAACAAUAACAUAAAAUAUUUAUCAACAAUUCAUUAACAUAAAGUGAUAAAUUAUAACAAUUUCUAUAUAAUAUAGAUCACUAACCUCUUUCGAAUCUAAAAAAUUGAUUGCCUUGUCAGCACCGUGAGUAAUGAGCCCGGCGACCUUAACAGAAGCACCGCAAUUAAUCAGCACGGCGAUUAACAAAAAUGCCGCCUAAUGCCAAUUCUGCAUGAGAAUAAGGUAAUAAUUAGAAACACCAAGAAGGACCACAAGGCAAUAAUCAUUUGUUUAAUGAGGAGGAAUAAGCCAACAGGCACUCACGAUUAGGACCACAAGACAGUUCUUCGCCCAACUCUGCCGAAAUGUAAACUGAGGUGCUCGUGUGAAAUUGUGAGGACCACAAGAAAUGUAAACUGAGGUGCUCGUGUGAAAUUGUGAGACCACAAGACAGUUCUUCGCCUGUGAGAAAAUGAGAAAUGUAAACUCUGAGUGAGAGAAAGUGAGAGGUGCGGAGUAACGAUGAGGAAGUUCCUCAGUGCUUAUAUAGAGCAUCAAUCAAAAUCUAGCCGUCCGUUUGCACGGCUAGAUUGCAAAGUUGCUUAAAAAAAAUAAAACAAACAACUGUGAAUUCACGGGAUGCUAAACUCUCGUGGAACAUAGCUUUUUUUCGUCGAGCUCUCUGCUAGGUACCAGCGCUUUUUUUUGUUCAGCUUUACAUGUCUCAGGGGAUGCUCAACAUUAGCUGCCAGCCAUUUUUUUUUUGUCCAUAAGCCCUGCCGACUGCUUUGUACUUUUUUUUUUAAAUUUUACUCAGCCCGGCAGCCAGCUUUGUGUAGAGGCUGUCGGCUACCGGGCCUGGUCAGCCCGGUAGCUAACAGCUUUAUUUAAAAAAAAAAAAAAUUGCUGCCGGGCUGUGUCAGAGUCAGAAUUUUUCAGUCGCCUUUUGGGUGCGGCGCCGGGCUGACACAACCCGGCACCCAUAGAUUCGUACCAAAACCCUGUCAGAGCCAUACAUGUGCGAUUAAUCUUUUUUUGGUCAAUAAUCUGAGUAAUUAGCCGCUUAUGACGCUCAAUUACUCAUCAAUCGCCCAAUUGCAUUUGGUCCGCCUAAUAAUUGUAGGUUCACUUGCCUAAAAGUGACUAAAAUGGCAUAUCUUCAAGGAGCUAAUAAAUUUAUUUGGAUAGGAGUUUAUUUGGAUGAUUUAUUUGAGAUAAUUAUUGUAAUAUUUUUUAUGAUGUGAUGUAUGUGAAAUAAAAAGGUAAUUGAGAAGAUAAAAAGGUGGUUGAGAUUUGUGAAGCAAAUUAUUUUUUUUCAAAUCAUCUCAAUCCAAAUAUCUUCAAUGAGUAUCUGUGCCCACUUGGUAACAAUAAAUUUAUGAGAGAUCGAUGGCAACUUAAAAGAGCAAGGCCUUUAAUAAACUUUUUCUAAUGUUUCUAAUAAUUUCAGCCACCUCCUCUAAAGUUUCAAUAAUUACAAAAAUCUCCCUUACAAAGUAUGACUAGGUAACCUUUGAUGAUACAAGUAGAAAAAAGUCUAAUCAAUACCCCGUAGGCUCAAUCUCAUUUCUUAAAAAAUUGAUGGGAUUUGAUGAUUACAUUAGUGGGAAUAUAAUUCAAUGCGGAUGAUGAAUUUGAUAUUUAGCAAAAAGAUAAUAAGCUGGUUACAUUUAACAAGAUGAGCAUGUGAUUGGGACUUGAAAGUUGCUCGUUGUAAAUGAAGAUCACUAGUGAGGGGUUUGUGUGUAUAUGUAUAUAUAUAUAUAGCAAACUAAAAAGCAAAAGGUAGUUUAGGAGAAUCUUUAUAUUAUGCUUUUAGUUUUUUGUAAAAGCUGUUUAUAGAGAGAUCAAUAUUUUAUGAGGAGAUCAAGAUUUUAUACCAAGGGAGAUUAGUGUAGAUUUUCAAACUUCAGGGGAGAAGUGGUUGAAACUAUUUGAAAACCUAAGGGGAGAUUUUUGGAAUUGUCCCAAUUUAAAAUCAUUCCAUAAAAUUAAGGGACAAUUUCAAGAACCUCUUAUUAGUUUUCUAACAAUGUCACUUAGUACCCCUAAAGUUUAUAAAAUAUCACUUGCUUCCCAUAUUUUCAAAUUUUUCUAACACUUUGAACCCAAUUCAAAUUAUAUGAUUAAAAUACUGUGUUUAGGAAAGAGAAAAUUAUUUCAAUCCAAGGUUGCUCUUUUUUUGUGGUUCCUUAGUUAUAAUGAUAAAUCAAUUUAAAAUCUCUUGACAUUUGAAAACUUGAUGAAUGUGUUCUUCAACGAAAAACUAUAAGUUUGAGAUUGAGAGAUCCUUUAACAAAUCUUAAUUAUAAUUGGAGUCAAAAUCAAAUAUUGAAAAAUUAUAAAGAAUUAAUAAAGCAUGUAAAAACUAUUUGUAAUAUUGUAAAGAUGAACAAAAUAACUUUUUUCACCUUUGAAGCAUCUCCAAUAAGUUUUAAAUGUAAUUUUAAACAUUUUCUUCUUUCUAAUUUUCAAGUCAUCGAUCUAGGCAAAUAAAAAUUUAAGAUUUUAAAUAGUUUAUAAAUUCUCUCAAAAUAUUUUACAUAAAAAGAAAGGUUUGCCUCAUUUGAUAAUCUAAGGAAACACAAUAAGCAUAUGGAUAAAUGAAAAUGGGCACAAUAUUGAACUUUUAAAAUCAUAGUUAACUCCCCAAAUUGCAACACUUUUGCAGAAGAAAUCUAUGCUUUUGCAAAACAAAAAUAGUAACAAUAAUAUCAUAUUUAUUUCUUUUUAUAUGACUUUAAAGUAUCAAAUAGACAAACAUUAAUGGAUAAAAAAUCUUUUUGUAAUUUGAAAACAUGUUAAAUAAAAUUUUAUCAUUUGCUUAUAAUUUAUAAAAGCAUAUUGUUCAUGGUUGCGGCAACUAUAUUUUGCCCCUUUAAAAAUAGCAUAUCUUCAUGCUUUUUUGUCUUUAUUUUUAACAUUUGAUUUUUCAUGCUUGCAAUUUUUUAAAAAAAGCAAGGCAAUAAAAAGGCAUUGUUGGAAAGAAAUCAUUUUCUCUUUCCUAAAGUGAGUAUUUUAAUGAUAUACUUUGAAUUGGAUUGUAAAUAUUACAAAACUUUUAAAAUAGGGAAGGCAAGUGAUAUUUUUAAAGCUUCAAGGGUGUUAAGUGAAACUAUUUUUUUUAAAAAAAAAAAAAAAGCAGAAAGUAUUUUAGGAUAUUCCUUUUUGUGUGCUUUUAGUCUUCUGUAAAAGCUCUUUAUGAGGAGAUCAACAUUUUAUGAAGUCUAUAUAGUCUUUGCAUAAUACUAAGGGAGAUUAGUGUGGAUUUUCAAACUUCAAGGGAAGUGGUUGAAGUUGCUUGAAAACCUGUGGGGUGAUUGCUGAAAUUAUUCCAUCAUCCAAAGGGGCCCUAUAAUUUACAAAAAAUUUCUACAAUUUUGACAAUGAGUGACAUAAUGUUUUAUAUAAACAUCCAACAAGCCCAUCAUCCAAGCAGGCCUUAUAAUUUAGGACAAAUAAAUCAUGUAUUUCCUAAGAUUAAGGUCUCAGGAAUUAGAGAUCUUGAAUUUUAAUUCUUCUGCCCCUCUCCGCUUCUUAAAUCUCAUCCUUCCCUGUUAGAAAAAAUUAAAAAAUAAAUCAUGAUUUUUAUUUUGCUUCUAUUUGUUUAAAAGACAAAUAAGCCUAUUACAAGAAUUGGUAACUAGUGUGAACAAACCGGCGAAGAUGACUCUGGUUUUGUCGGAGGCCGGGUCUUCAUUUUUAUGUGGUCCAAUUGCAGAGACCAAUUCGUGUCUGACAUGGAUAAAUAGAGGUAGAAAAUUGGAUUAAAAGGCCGUUGUAUGUUUUUCCUCCAAAAAUUUUGUACGUUUUCGCACGCACAUAUUUUUCGAUUAUUUUUUAUUAUAUAUAUUAAAUUGUUAUAUUAAUUUUUUUAAAAAACACUUUAGAAAUAGCAUUUCAAACAAACUCUUUUUUUUCGAUUUAGAAAACCAAAAUAAAAAUGAUUUUCUUAUUCUUGACCUUGGAACUCUUUUGCGGCACUGAGCCUACAAUCUUUUGCACUCAAAAUAGAAAAGUCAGGAGAUGAAAAGGGUCUAUCUUGGAACGUUCCUUUUUUUUGCUUUUUUUUAUUAAAACAGAAUUUCAUUACAUGAAUAUACACUAAUAGCAAAAAACAUGUGAUAGAUACUUUUUUUCUUUUGUCUACAAGAUAGUUUCUAUUUUAUACCUACUUCUACUCUAUACUAGGGGAGAGGGUGGGCUCAAAUGAAUCAAAGAAGAAUUCGAAAGGGACUAAAGCACAACCGGAUCAGACGGGUACCUCUGUAAUCGCUGGUGAAACUUUCAGAAAAUCUUGGAGAUGAAUGUAUAUCAAGGGAUUUGAUCCCUUGACCUGUAAAGCUCUCCUUGAUGACCUACUGCUCAAUUAUAACAGAUACAACUGAAGGAAACUUGCUAUGGAAGAAACCUGUAAUUGUCUUCACCUCAUUAAAUAUAAUCGGACAUAUGAAGCCACUGGGAUAUGCGGCACAAACGGUCAUCAGAAGAACCAUUCAGGAGUAGUCUUCUUAUAUCGCCAAACAAGAGGUCCAGCAACGGCCACAUCGUCUAGCAACGGCCACAUCGCCAAGGAAUAACCAAAGCCAAAACAAACUCGUUUCAAUUGGUUAGGCUAAUAAACAAAAAUAAAAGGGAUUGUUUACUCUAAUAGACUCCGCUAGAGCCAAAAGGGUUUUUCAAAAUUUCAAUUUUUGAAAUGAAUUUUUGAUUUGGUUUGUGACUUUGAAAUGAAAUGCGAGAAAAUUCACCUAUCAUAAUAUUGAACAAAACACCAUUCUCUAUCUAGCUAGGAAAGGAAAAAAUCAAUUGAGACAUAAACUUGUAUACAUUAAGUUUUGGGGGGGGGGGGAGGGGUGGGGAGAGGGGGAAUCUAUUGGAAGAAGAUGUGUGAGGAAAUUUGAACAGAAGAAGAAAGUGCACUUUGUCUCUCAUAUGUUAGAGGUGGAUUUCAGCUAUAGAAUCAUUAAGAAGAAAGCUACCAUAAUUUUGUACCACACAAUAUUUUGACCACCAAGCAUAUUGAGGGUGAUAUGAAAUAGGAAAGAUACCAAAUAUAGCUAUAUCUAUCUCCAAAAAAUUCGGUAAAGUGAACAGCGGUUUGAAGCAAAUCACAUACAGCAUGGUGGUCAAGCACAAUGUCGGAGUCCAAUGAAGAUAAUGACACUAAACCAUUUAUUGAAUUGUGGUUACUCGUAGGCUCAAAAAUAUACAAAUGUAAUAGACAAAAGAAAUCAUUUGUAAAUUCUGUGCAUAAGGACCAUAUGAUAUAUGAUGAGCAAUUACGUGAUGGCCAAUCAUUGUGUUUAUGUAUUUGUACAAAAAGUGAUGCAAAAGUUACACAAAUUUGGUAUGAGUGCACAUGUGUAAAUUUCAUUACUUGGUCAUCAGCCCUUAGAGAGUAUGCACUACCAGAUAUGAUUUAUGAGUAAGUCAUAAGUUAUUAAAUAAGUACAUGGCAUGACAUACAUAAAGAACUAAGUGAUGUACUCCAUGACUGUCAAAGUGUGUAAUUUGUUACUCAUCGAUAAAGAACUAAGUGUACAUAUAGUGUGUGGUUGUGCAUAGUGUGUUUCCUACUGUGUACAUCUUGCUAGGUGAAAAUUACGGUGAGUAAUAUAUUGUAAAAUGGAGGGCAGUGAUAUGCACACCCUUGUACUAGUUGUAGGAGCCUCGAACUCGUGCAAAAUCUUGGAUUGGAUUUACUUUUGCAUGACUUAGUGCUAAUUUACAUGAUUUACCUCAUGAACAUUGUACUUUUAGAAGUGUAGACCUUGUGAAUUAAUCGUUGAUGUUUGUUAAUUUGUUAGUAUGAGUACAAUUAAGUUUUCAUCUUUCUCUUUCUUACAUAGUUUGUAUAGCACAGUAAAUGUAGUUAUGUGAGCUAGAUUCUAUUCUAGAAACUUUGGUAUAGUUGAUAUUUAUAUGUUUCUGUAAGUGUGCACAUUGUUAGUGGGUAUGGCUUAGUGCUAUACGUUUUGUAUGUUAACAUAGUCAUAAAUUUAUUGAAGUUAGCCUAUUGCUUGAAUUUGUAUUUGGUUAUUGGUUCUUAAUUACAGUCAUGUAUAUGACAUAUAAAGUGAUAAUGAAUUUACUACACUAUUGUUCGUUGGCUACAUGGAGUUCAUAUAGUUGUAUAAUUGGCGUUUGAUUAGCUAUGCCCUAUAUGUAAUUGAUAACCCUGUAAAACCUUUUCGCACAACUUGUAUACGAAACAAGUCACAUUAUGAUAACUAAUGUACAUAUGAUGAUUUUCAGGAAUUGGAUUUGUGGAAAGAAUCAAGUGGACAAAAGAUGAAACUCCACAAUUAGGAAUGGAAUUUGACACAGAAGAUAAUGUCUAUAAAUUUUACAACAAAUAUAGUUUUGUCAAGGGUGCAACAUAGCUUUCUUUACAAUCAUCAAAGGUACUUGUUAUGACUGAUAAGUUGUUGUAAAUGAACCUUUUUCACUCACAAUAUUUUUGCUGCGUUUUGUGAAAAGUUCAGAACGAAAAGCUAGCUAUACAGUCUCACUAUUAAUCCAAAUAACCUGUAAUUGUAACUUGUUGAAAAAGAUUUGAGUACCAUUCCUAUGCUUAUAUAGCACCCUCCUUUGUUGUGUUUAAUUGACAGUGAUUCGUGUAUUGUGUAGGCUAGUUUAUUACUGUCACUACUACCAGAAGACAUAGGAAUCACAUCCAACCAGCCAUAAGAACAAUGUUAGCAUUGUAACAUCGGCCAAUAAAUUAUCUUGUACACACUGCAGUUUACUUCAAUAAGUGGCAUGUAUAUAAAUACUUAGUGAAUGUAUAAUUUGGUUGAAAUAAAGUACACCAUGUAACCGACUAAGUACGAUGCAUAGAAAUUGUUGAACAUGCAGUUAUUUGUCCACAUGCAUAUUGCAAUUAGUCAUCGCAGCCACAUGCAUAGUGCAAUGAUAUGCAUAUAUUUGUAAUGGUUAUUGGUGUUUUGACCCAUUUGUGCAUCUCCUUGCAGGCUGCAGUGGGUGUGUAAUUUUAUUUGUAUAGCUAAUACUAAUUUGCCUAUAAGCACAUUACACCAGGUGAUCUAUGAGGUAUAAUCAGCUUACAAAAAUGUACAACAUCUUAGAUGUUAGUUACUUGACUGUGUAUAUCUAUAAAAGGUAGUACAAUGGUGCGCAUAACUUUGGAAUGGUUAUUGGCCCUUUAAUCAACUAUGCAUUUCUCUAUAAUGGAUGUGUAAUUUUACUUGUAUAAGUAGUACUAAUUUGUUUGUGAGCACCUUACAUAGGAUGAUCUAUAAGGUACAAUCAAUUUACAAAAAUGUACAUCAUGUUAGGUGUUAGUUACUUUACUAUGUAUAUUUGUAAAAAGGAGAUUAGAUAUAGAGCAACAAAAAAUAGUUACGUGAGUUGGAAUGUAUUCUAAAAACUUUGGUAUAGUUGAUAUUAACAUUUUUCUGUGGAGUGUAUACGUUGUUCGUAGGUAUGGAGUAGUGCUAUAUGUUAUGUAUGCUUACAUGGUCAUAAAUUUACAAAAGUUAGUCUAUUGUUUGAAUUUGUAAUUGGUUGUUAGUCCUUGCACACUGUCAUGUGAUGCAAGAAUGAAUUUACUAUAUAGUUGUUCAUUGGUUUCAUAGAGUUCAUACAGGUAUACAAAUUGGGGUUUGAUUACUAUGUCCUGUAUGUAAUUGUUAAUGCAUUAUAUCUUCUUCACCUAUAUUUUGCAGCAUGUCAAGAGCAAAGACAGGUUCCUUUGACGAAUCAAUGGAUAUCAAUCAACACUGGUGCAGCAAAGAAAUUAGAUUGGAUAAUUAGAUAGUUUCAUUGUGCCAGACUCAUAAUACUUAUUCGAAUGUACCUAGUUCUUAAUGCAUUACCAUAUGUUCAAUCUAUUUUAAAAUGUACUAGAGGAAAAAAGUUAAAUUGAUAAUUUUAGAUUUUGUUUAUUAGUAUUAUAAAUCUAGUUAGUAUUUAAGUACUGUUUAAGUACUAUUUGUUGUUAAAUAAAGAUUUUUGUUUCACAAAUUGGUGGAAACUAGUUACAUUUGGUUAUUUAUAAGUUACAUACAUACUGAUUGAACAAAAAUUUAACUAGUCAUCUAUCACUAUUAUGGAAGUAAUGGUUUUAGGUAAAAUUUUAGUUGUCAAUAUAUUAUAAUCUGAAAAAGUAGUAAUUACCCAUCAGCAAAUUUGUAACACCCAACCAUAAUGUCACUCGUUUCCAUUUUUAUCAAACCUCAAGCUAAAAACCUUAGAAACAUGGUUGGGAUGUCAAUUUUGGCAUACUUCUAUGAUUUAAUUGCUUUUUGAACAAAUAUCCUUGGGUUUAUUAGGUAUGAUGCAUAUAAAAAUAACAUAUACAUAAAAAGAAAUGAUGUGUGAUUUAAAACGAAGAAGGGAUUCCUCUAAAAAAAUGAAGAAUGAAGGAGCUUAUUAAAUUUAUAAAUAUAACAAAAUGCCUCUUUAUUAGAUAAUUUUAUUAUUUACAAAUAUUUCUAAAAAUUGAACAAAAAAAUUAAUCAAAUGUAUACUCUAGUUAUAACAAUAUGUACAACAAUUAUAAUAGAUAUACAUAAUGCUUCAAAAAAAUCUACAAAUUGAACAAAAAUCUACAAUGAUUACAACGAUAUCUACAAGGAUUAUUACCUAUCACUACACAAUAUUUUCUAUAAAUCGAAAUUGAAAAUUUACAAAUGUUGUGAUAACAAAAAUCUAUAAAAGGAAGGUAAAAGAGUUAUACAAUACUGUUAGCUGAGUUUCACUUGCUCCAUUUCUUCUUCUCAAGUUGGUUUCUUCUUUUCCUUUUUAAUUAUAAAUGAUGGGAUUGGUUCUGCAAGUUCAGUGGUUCCCCUUAUUUAUAUUUCUUCCUUUUCACUUGGAUUCUUCAUUGUCCUUUUCCGUACCAUCUCGCCACUGCUCAUGCAAAUUAUAAAGGCUGUUUACUUUGUUCAACACAACCGUUCUAAAUGAAGUAACAUUUUUUAAACAAAGCGUAACUCUACAUGAAUUACUUGUAAAACUUAACAACAGAUGCACAAUUAUUACAUAUGAGACCCAUAUAAAUAGUAACAAAAUAUCAUACUUCUGUUGUAAGGAUGUACAAAAAGUUUACAUAGAGCUACAAAAUAUUUAAAAAAUAUUACAUUGUUUAGGGAUGGUUGAUAGAAAUCAACUGUCCCAGCCCACUUCUUUUUUACCUGGCAUUCAUAUGACGUUAUAAAAUCACAACUAAAUAUGAUAUACUAGAUUCAAAUCUGAGUAAGGCAUACUGAACAUUGAGUACAUCUAGCCUAAUACAUACAUAUUACAACCUACACUUAUUCAAUCAAAUUUAAUCCCAUAGACUAGGAAUGUACAAAUAGGUACCAAGUUACAAACAUGCAAUAAUAAUUGUCAAAUUAAUAGUGUGUGCACUUCACCUCACUUCUCUUCCUUUUAUUUCUUUUCCUUUCAUUAUAAAUCCCUUAGAUCUUGCUUUAACAUCAUCCUAUUACUUCAUUGCUGAAUUACAGCCACAUAAAAGUAUUUGUCGAUUGUCACUAAUUGUUCACUAAUAAUAAUACUUUUCCAACAUGAUGUGCAGGCAUAUUAACUAAGACAUCUUGUAACUAUUUUCUACCAGUAAGUAAGGCAUAUUGAACAAUAUGUACAUUUAACCUAACACAUAAAAAUUAGAAUUUACAUUAAUGCCAAUCAACUUUGAAGUAAUCCACUUCAAUUGCUAUACUGCUAUUGUACAAACAAGGACCACCAUUAAUAUUUAAUGCGUGCAUUUCCUUUUAUUUUUUUCCUUUAUUUUCAAACCUUCACACCUUUCUUUAACAUGGGCAUUAUGUUAAUUGAUUACUAAUUUACAACUAUAUAAAAGUAUUUCUCCACAGUCACUGUUUAUUCAUAAAAAAUAAUAGUUAUCUAAUAUGAUGUACAGGCACACUACUAAGACAUCUUAUAAUUAUAUUUUUGCACUAUAUAAGGCAUAAAGAACAAUAUGUACAUUCAACCUAAUUUAUAUAAAUUAUUUCAAAUACUCAUAUCAAUUAAGUUUGAAGUAAUUCACUUCAAUUACUAGACAGCUAUUAUAUGAAUAAGUACUAAUCUUCAAACAUGAGAUACCACUCAUUAAUGAUUAUUAAUGUGUGCACUUCUCUCUUUUUGUUGACCUCUAUUCCUUCUAUUUUCCCUCCAUUGUGACUUAUUUAAGCAGAUUUAACAUUUUAGUGUAAGUGGUUAUUAAUUUACAACUGCAUGAGAGUGUUUCUCCACUACCACCAGUUAAUUACAAAUAUUAUUUUUCUAUCCAACAUUAAUGUAAAGGCACAUUCACUGGAACAUCUUAUAAUUCAUCCUAAUCAUUCACUUUGCUUAUUAUUUUAUUUUGUUGUAAUCGCCCACAAACACCCAGUAAUUCUAUCUACGCCAUUAAAUGUCCAUACUAACUGACACAAAUGAAAAAUAUAACUUGAAAAUUUUCGUUUCUUUUAUCUGCCUGAAACCUUGACUAUAUUGUUGAUCUGCUGUUGUUGUUAUAGACAAACACUCCUGCAUAUCCCCUAGUAAUAGCUCUUUCUACUAAUUGGUUUGAAAGUUCUUUUUUCUAUUUGCAAACAUUUGGCAUGCAAAAUUUUUCUUUGCCCUCCUUCCUUGUGUAGUCCAUCAACUAAUUUAACUUCUACCAUUCAAAGGGUUUCCAUAGAGACUACAAGCAAAAUAGAUGGAUACUAUUCACCAAAAAAUGAAAAUUAAAUUAUUGGCUUGCAACAUUGUUACCUGAAGAGUUUAUGUGGAUACAAUUGGGUGUUUCUCUGUCUUAUAUCCCACUACCUUCUAUUAUCAUAUCUCCAACACAUUUUCCUUCAGCAAGUAGUUUUUCCUUCUAGUUAGUGUAAUCAUUGAUGGGUGAUAAUACAUUUUCCUGGCUCUUCUUUGGCACUCCUCGUCUACAACUUUUUUGUUCUUUAAUGUUAUUUUGCCCUGAUUCUGGAGUUAUUGAGUUAUAUUAACAAUUUUUGGAUGGAAAGUAAGAGAUUAAUUUUUGGAGGGAGAAUUUUAGACUUUGAGUUUUAAUGGACAAUCAUGCCCAAUCAACUUGAACGAGAUAUUUUUGGAACGGUGUUUUAACGGUAGCGGAAUCUAUUAGGCUAACGCAAUUUUUUUAAAUUUUUUUUCAUGCUCACUGAGUAAACGAGAGCAUUUCAAUGUGGAUGCAUGAUAGGCAACAGCUUGCGAAGGAACUAUUCAGGACGGUCCUUCUUAAUUACCGUCUCUGCCCCAUAUCCCAAGCGACUGCAUGUUCCCAGAAUACCACAUUGCCACUUUCGACCGCAAGCCCAUUGUUUCAUAAUGUUCACUGCACAUACACUGUAUUUGAUAUACUCUUUUGGAAAUUGUGCAUUGCCAAUUUGCUUCUGACGGCUAGCCAGCACUUUUUAUUUCUUGAUUCUAUUCCUUUUUCUUUUUGCCGCUGCUGCGAAGUUCACGGCUUACGACACGCUCAAAUUGCAUUCGGUCCACCUAAGAGCGCAUGUUCUCUGCCUAGGAUCGACUAAAAAGGCACAGCCUACAAAGUAUCUUUGCCCGCUUGGUGACAAUAAUAUUUAUAAAUACAAGAAAUUUCUAAGAGAGCGAUGGAGCUUGAAAGGGUUAACUUCAUGAACUUUUUCUAAGGUUUUUGAAAUUUUCAAUCACCUUCAAUCAAGUUUCAAUAAUUACAUUCCUCACUGACAAAGUAUAACUAGAUAGCAAUCAAUAAUGUAAGUGCAAAAAAAAAAAUACAGCGAAUACUCCCAUAUAUUGGCUCCAUCUCGUUUCUUGAAACUAUAUAGUUAAUAAUUUAUAGAAAGAAAAGUACCCCUCUUUAAGGAAAAAUUGAUGAGAUUUGAUGGUUGUAUUAUUGGGAAUAUAAUUCAAUUGUGGAGGAUGAAUUUGAGGUUUAAUAAAAAGAUAAUAGUCUGGUUAAAAUUAAUAAGAUGAGCAUAUAAUUGGGACUUGAAAGUUGCUUGUUAUAAAUAAAGAUCUGUAGUGAGGUGAGAUUAAGGGUGUUUAUAUAUAUAUAUAUAUAUAUAGAUUAGAAAACAAAAAGCAGUUUAGGAGAUUCUUUUUUUUUUUUUUGAGCUUUUAGUUUUCUGUAAAAGCUCUUUAUGAGUAGAUCAAGAUUUUACGAGGGCUAUAUAGUCUUUGCAUAAUACUGAGGGAGAUUAGUCUAAAUCUUCAAACUUAAGGGGAUGUGGCUGUAACUAUUUGAAAACCUCAGAGGAGGUUUUAGAAAUUAUCCCAAUUUAAUAACAUUAUAUAAAAUUAAUACGUGGGGAAGAGAUUAGUUAACUCCGAUUUUGUCCACCUGCAUUUACGUGGGGAAAUGAUUCAUGUGAUGAGAGCACCGCGACAGCUUUCCUGUCUAUGAUAUAGACAAAAAAUUAAAAAACACUCUUGAAUGAUAUUAAAUUGCGAAACAAAUUUUAGAAUUUUCUACUUUUUUUUGAUAAAACAUCAUAAUAUCAUUAAAAUAUGUACUAAUAGCAAAAAUUACAUCGUCAAACAUAGUCAGAUAUCAAAGAAUAUAUCCUAAGAAAGAAUACUAUAAAUCUGAAAAACAAUAAAAAUUAUAUUAUAAAGGUCCAAAUUUAAAAAAAAUGAGAUAAAUAAUUGUAGUUCCAUGGAUAUUUAUGCAUGCCUCCAAUUAUUAGAUCUGCUGAUUAACUGCUUCAAGUCCCAAUAUUAGGAUAAGAUCUAUCGAAUAUAUCUAAGAAAUUUUAGAUUUGAGAAUCAAAAUCUGAAAAAACUCAGAUCUAAUAAAAGAAAAAUAAAAAAAAUUAUCAAAAACUCUCACUAGAAAUCUCUAGAAGAGAGUAAAACUCUCACUAAAAAAUUUAAGAGAAAAGGAAACUCUCACUGGAUAAUCAUAAGGAGAGGAGAAACUCUCACUAAAAAAUCUUAGAGGAGAUUUUAUUCACAUAAAUAAAAAGAAACUAUAGAGAAGGCUCCUUCCAUGGAGAAAGAUUACGAAGAUUUGAUUUCUCUCCCAUGGGAGAAUUAAAGGAAGUUUUAGUUGAAGAGUUUUUUCUACAGAGAAUAAUUUUCUCUGAUAAAUGGGGGUUUUUUUUUCAUCACUUAUUUUUUCGUCAAUUAUAAAUAUGGGGUCUAGGUAUCUCAUUGUUUAGCCAACUUUUCUGAGAUUGUGUGUGUGUGUGUGUGUGUGAAAUUCACUUUCCUUGACACACAUGCAUACUAUCAGCAUGGCCACCGGAAAUGGAAAUCACGAGGCACAACAAACAGAGGAAAACUUUGUACAAUUUUAUGAGACGUGGAAGAAGCAGCAGAACCAGCAUCUUCAAGAACUCAUCACUGCAUCAGAACAAGUUUCUUCCCCAACACCGCCAACAGACGGGAUCACGGCUUGUUCCUCCUCAUCACCACCACCACCAACAGACGGGAUCACGGCAACAAAUUUGAGCAACUUGGUGAAACGCGUGGUCGAACACUAUGAAGAGUACUACAAAACCAAGUCAGAAUGGGCAGACAAAAAUAUAUUGCAAAUAUUGUCACCCCCAUGGACGAGUUCUCUUGAGGAUGCAUUCCUUUGGAUUGGUGGAUGGAGACCCACCAUGGCUAUCCAUCUUCUCUACUCAAAAUCAAGUUUACAGUUCGAAUCCAAAUUCAAUGUUUGGAUGCAGGGAAAAUUGACUAAGCAUGAUCUUGGCGAUUUGACACAGAGUCAAAUCAGUCUAAUUGACGAGCUGCAGAAGAAUACAAUCAUUGAGGAGAAGGAAAUAACUGGAAAGAUGGCCAAGCAGCAGGAGAAGGCGGCCGGUGCAGACAUGGUGGAGCUGAGUCAUUUGGUGAGUGAGGCACUGCGUGAAGAAGAAAAGGGAACGAAAGCAAGGGAUCACGAAGCUGAACAGAGCCAGGCUGAGUCAAGUCUGAAUCCCAAGGAGAAAGGGUUUAAGAAGAUCUUAGAAAAGGCUGAUAAUCUUAGGCUGAGAACCCUUAAGAGUAUAAUUGAGACAUUAUCUGCAACACAGGCUGUUCACUUCUUGAUUGCUGCUGCUGAACUUCACCUGAGGCUACACGAGUGGGGAAAAGCCAGGGAUGAAGGGCAACUCUCCGGCGGAGCUGGCCAUCCCAUUUUCCAACAAGAAGCCUGAAGAUUGUAUUUGUUUGUGUCGAUUUCUGAGAGGGAGGGGUUUUUAUUUUCUUGGCAGCUUAUAGUUGUUUAGGGCUUCAAGUUUAUAAAACUACCUUAAUUACCGUUGGUUUAAAUUGUAGUAGGAGACAGGCCAUAUCUUUGGUUAAUAUUCCCAUUCCAGCUUUCUUAGUCUAGUUGGUCACCAAUGGUCACCAUAAACUUUUGGCCAUCUCGAAAUUUGCGGAAAAUCAUAUGAGAAGAACCAAGUGAAAAGAAUACAAACCACUCCCAACCAACCAUACAAGUUUACUCGAGACAGAGGCAUACAAAAAGAAAGCCCUGAGGAGGGUUUUCUUUCACGAGUCAAUACAACAACUUUUGGGGAGAGAGAAGUUUAGCAACUGCAACAGGCUAUGUGAUUAUAUAUUAAAGAAACAGUUCAAUAAAAUUACUAGUACGCAACCAACUUACACUAAUCUCUAUGAUAAACUAAAGUAACAAACCUGCUUCACUACAGGUAUUUAUUUAAAGGCAGCAGCAGAAGGGCAUGAUGACAGAUCCUCUUUUCUAAUGCCAACAGUUUGGCGAAGGCUGCCAAAAAGUAACUCCUUUUGUUCAUUAGGUGCACCACUUCUUUAA
rnacentral:lncRNA from 1 species